GAAGUUGCAUGUUGAUGUUGGCACAUAAAGAGUAAAAGUAGAUAUUAGAAAGUUACAUAUAUUGAAGUUGUAACAUUUCAGCCGAUUACAUGAAAUGAAAGGGCUGCCUUGUAAGACCCUUUCUUUUUAUUAUUCAUCCUCUAAACCCUAAUCUUUCAGUACCUCAACGAUCAACAACAAAAUCCAUGGCGGACAUAGCUCUGCAACUCUUUUUAUUACUUCCUACUUACGUUACCCUACAAAGAUCCCCCUGAUUUUGAUUGCAUUGGCAUCGGCUGGAGUUUAAGCAUCGGCCCUCCUCUCGGACUGUGAAGGAGUGAAGAAAAAGGUGUUUUUGUUGUUGAACUUAAUCCGCCUUGCAUCUUCUCUUGACACCUGAUACGACGCUGCCACCACUUCCUCCGGCAGUGCUCGCAUGAAGGAGACACUUCCAGCCAUUGGGGUGUUGGUGGCUUCGCUAUUGGUGAAGAAGGAAAUCCAUUCGGCUCCUUCGUUUCCUGCUUGUUUCAUGAACGCAAAGUUCUGUGGCACCGUCAGGAGCUGACCUUGCUCCACGUUAUCGUCGAACACUGCGUCGCCGUUGUGGUUCACCACUUGGACUCUGGCACAGCCUCUUAACAUGUAGAGUAUUUUGUGAGCGUUGACGUUCCAUUGUGGAAUCAAACCAGCUCUCUGCAAAAACAAAUGUUACAUACAGUGUUAUAUAUGAUUCAAUAUUUUAUUGAAUAUUGUUAAGAAAUAAAUGUCUCGAGCUUACGUUGUAGAGGACACCCCUCUCGGCGCUGAGCUCAAGUCGUUGGAGGAUGGGGAGGUUAAACCUGUUGAGGGUGGAAAUACGACCGGCUUGUGGGUUGAAAAUGUCGGCACGUUCAGGGUCAGCAAGGUUCUCCUUGAUCCUCAUGGAGCAGAAAGUUUCCUCGAGGCCAUUAUCUUGAGACCCUCCUCUCGUAUGGCGGUAUCGCUGCUCCUGCUGGCGCUCCUCACGUUCUUCUUCCUCCAUUCUGGGUGGUGUUACGACUUGGAGUCUGUCCCUGACUCUGAUGAUGGUGCCUCUAUUUCCUCGUACACGUUGGAUUUUCCUAAUGAUGUCGUGGUCAACGUUGAAAGCUUGAGCGAGGAAGUUUCUGUCGAAGGCACAGAGAAGGUUGUUGCAUGAUGAGCUUUCCCGCCCCUGCUCCUCCUCCUCCUGGUGGCGGCUGCGGCGGCUGGGGUUGUCUUCUUCUUCUUCUUCUCCUUCUCCUUCUUCUUCCUCAGACUCCUCCCCCCUCUCACUUCUUCCCUGCAUCUGCUGUGCUAGCCUCCUCAGUUGCCUCUGUUCCUCUUCUGGGUUACCAGCAAGAUGGAAUCUCUAUAACAUUACAAGAGAGAGAUCAUCAAAAACAAAAACAAAAAGUUAUGUAUAGAAAGGGAUUGUCAAAAUUAUAAAAAAUUAUAUACUCUAGGGAUGUUGUCGAGCUGAUUAGCACUGUUGCCAGUGUCAAGUAGAUUGAUAGUAACAACACGCUCAUUGCCAUCAUUGUAGCUCCAGUGAACCACACCCUGCGGCAAAGCAAUGAUGUCACCCUGGCGGAACCGUCGGACUUUCUGGUGCUGGUCCUGGAACCUGCCACGGCUUUGAUGCUGCCAUUGCUGUGAAUCCUGGAAUGUUUCGGCACAUCCAGGCAUCACAAUACCUUGAAUACCUCUUCCUGAAAAAACAAAUUUAAACAUCAUUUUGUAUUUUAUACCAACGAUAAUAACACCAUUAGUGACGCACUAUUAUACCUUGGACAAUGUAGAGAAGCUGAGGAGCAUUGGUGAAGGAAGGCAAAACAAGGCCAUUAGGUUCAAUAGUCUGCCUCAUUACAGAUACACCAGCACACCUGAGCUGUUGACAGUUGGGGUUCCACCACUCGGUGGUGCCGGCUUCGGAGCGAAUUCGGGUCUGGGGUGCAGAGGCGCGGAGCCUAUUGAUUUGACACUCAUUUUGGGACUGCUGUGACGAAAAGGUCUGGCGAGCUAGGCAGCCAUUGAAGAGAAAAAGAAGAGAAAGAAAGAGCAAAGAAGGGUUAAUCGCCAUAUCUACGUGUUGAAAUGGUUAUUUGGUGAAGAAGGGAGUGGAGGGAUAGUGGUAUUUAUAGGGGAGAAAGAGUGGAAAAGGAGGUCAGGGUUGUGUCGACACACAGCAGUUUGCAUGGGGGAGUUGAGGUUAAUGGCUUACACAUCAUAGACUGGGGGAGGGCAGGUGGCUCAAAGCUUCGAUGAAUACUUGCAAAUAACAACACCAGGAAAUGAAGAAGAAUCCGAAACCACGAUAUGUCGCCAGAUGAGAUUGGUUAAGGAGAGAGUCUUGAAUUUUGGUUACACUAAUCAAACCAAAAUGAUUCAAUGCUCAAACAUGUUUAUCACAUCAAUUUAUUAAUUAAGCGUUCAAGAGUUCUUUAAAACAUGAUUCAUUAUAUUAUGAUUUUAUUUAAAUUUCCAUUUAAUAGUUUCAUCCUUUCAAAAUUUAUCGUUUAAAAAACAUUAAUUGAUUUUAUUGUUAAAUAUAUAUAUUUCUACUCGUUAACUUGUACAUAUAUUAAGAGCUUAAAUGAGUCGGUGGUACUCAUCAUUUAAGUCUCAUGAAAAUUCAUCCAUUCUACAAAACAAUAAAUUUUAUUUUUACAGUAUUUAUAUAUUGUUAUAUCAUUAAAUUAUAUUUAAUUUUUAACUUUUUACUAAUCUACAAUAAUAUAAAAAGUGUCAAAAUUAUUUUAAUAACAACUAAAAUGGGUAAGGAGAGUGAAAAUGUGGUGUGGAGGCAGGACGUACGUGAAGAACCUACGCAGGGAAUUGCUUGUUUGUUUGUGAACUGUGAUGGUGUUGCGACAACUGGGCCGUAGCAUGUUAUACCUCUUGCCAUCUGUUGUACUACAUUCUAUACGGUCGUACAUUAUUCCGAUAAUUGCAAUUUUUACGAUAUUAAAUAUAACGGAUGAAGAACAAAAAUAAGUCAAACAAAAUCUAUCGGUUAUUAUAGUAGUGGUGGAAAGGGUAAUUUUAGAAUUCUAUUUUUGAUAUUUAAAUCCGUAAAUAUUAUUAUUUAAUAUGUAUGAGGUUAAUAUAAAGGUUAAUUAAAUUUUGGUAUAUUAAUUUUAUCAAAUUAAUAGUUAAUUAAGAUACAAAAUUUAAAUUGUAAAAAUUCAUUGUUAUAAAUUUUUAAUUAAUCAAAACACCAAUUGAGCAAUUAAACUACUAUUAUAUGACCAAACGGUGGUAGAUUUUAAGUGUUAUCCACUAAGAAAUGUUAAUUAUGGUUAAGGUUCAUUAAUUUAAAGUUAAUUUUAAUUAAUUAAUUAAUUAAUAAAGUGCACAAAAUGAAUGCAUUGAAGUGUAAGCUUAAAAUAGGUAUCAAAUGGCCUAAAAUGUACUAAAAAUAGAGUCCACGUUGCGACUUCAGCGAUGGAGCUCUGGAUUUCAAACCACGACGUGAUGAGGAACAUUGUAGUCACAACGAGGCCAAGUCAGUAUGUCGCGUCGCGACGAGGAACCCCUCAUGUCACGACGUCAAUCCAAACUUUUUUAAAACUUUUACAAAUCGUUCCUUGUUUGAUUCCAGGCUAAUUUUAGACCAUAAGUAAGCUUGCAUAAGACCCGAGAAAAGUUGUAUAUCAUGUUUAUGGCUUGAAAAUGUUAUGUUUGUAUGCAUUAAGUUGUGAAUUGAAAGUUAAAUGUUUGUAGUUGCUUCGACAAUGAAUGUGACAUCCUGUAGCUCGGAUCCAGUGAUCAUGUCGGAUGAGGUGUGUUACAAUUUGUUACUAUUUUUUAACUCUAUCAUUGUUCAUAUUCUUCUUCCUUAACCCAUUUUUUUCUCCACAUCACCCUGCUUCCCAAAUUGAGUAACUCUACUUAAAUGAAUUGAGGAAUAGAUUUAGUGAAUAUUUUGUGAAGCAGGAGUGUGGGAGGGUGGCGUGGAGAAGAAAAAGAUUAAAUGCUAAAUUGGGAUCUAACUUUUUAAGGGUUGCUUAAAUAAAUGCCAAACCUUUUAACUAUUCAUAUAAGGCAUAAUCAUUAAAACGUGCUCAAAUAAAGGCUUUCCAUGCACUUCAGUCUUGUUUGUAGUAAAAAUUAGGUGAAUGCUGACAUGUUUGAAAUAAAACACAUUACAACUGAAUUUGAUAUUGCUUGAAAAGAAAAGAAAAUAAAAUAAAAUAAUAAAAACAUCAACUGAAACCUAAUAUACGACAUUUGAGAAGUCCUUAUUUAAGCACUUUCGAAAAAGUUUGGCCUUUAUUUGAUUGUUUUGAAAGGUUUAACCUUCAUUUGGACACUUUUUGUAAAUGUUAGGUCCUUAUAUAAGCAAUGUCUAAAAGGUUGGCCCCAAUUUUAGCCAAAAAAAAAAAGGGUUAAGGAAGAGUAGGAUGAACAGCGGCAGGGUUAGAGAAUAGUAAAAAAUGAUGGCAUGGCAUGCACAAUCAAUCGUUUUUAGAGGUUCUAACGCUUGGGUGAUUAAAAUGAAAGUACUCUCUAAUGGUGGUGAUUAAAUUGCAAGAAUUUUUAUUUAGGUGACAAAAAUAAAAGUGGACUAAAAGUUGGGUUAUCAGCUAAGUAGUUUACCCUAAAUUUUUUUAAAAAAAAUUUAAUUUUUUGAAUAAUUUAUGUAUUAUAUAUGUUUUCUUUAUUUUCCAAUUAAUAUAAUACACAUAAUAUUAAAAUUAAAAAAAACUGAUGCAGGGCAUUUUAAUAGGGUCACAUGUCAACUUCUUUUUUCUUUUUAAUGUCGUAGGCCAAUUUAAAUAAUAGAUGAUAGUUGAGUAUUAAAAAAAGCCCAAUAAAAAUUUAAAUAUCAAAAUGAGGAAAUAAAUAUAAGAGACGAAAGGAUGCAUUAAACAUUUUAAUAUAUUUUAUUAUUUUAUUUCCUCACGUUUUAAAUUAUUUUUAUUAUCCCCAUGAAUAGUUAGUUUUACCUAUCUAACCUUUUUUUUAGAUUUAAAAAUAAUAAUUAUUUAUUUAUUUUAAAUAUUAUUAUUUUUUAAAAGUUUACAACUAAAAAUAAAGUUAAUCAUAAUUCAAUCACAAAUAUAUGUAAAAUCAAACAAUAAUAAACAUAAAAAGACUAAGAAUCAAAAUAAUUCGGACUAAAAUUAACCCUCUAAAUUAAAACUUACACAUAUUAAAAUUAAAGACCCACAAAUAAUAUUUACAUUUAAUGAGACUUGAAUUUAGAUACUCAAACAUCUAAAACCUAGUCUUUGCGAAUGGUACUAAAGCUUCACAAUUAUUAUUAUUUAAAAUAAAAAUUGAAAAUAUGUUUAAAUAUAUAUAAUUAAUUGAUGUUUGAUGUAAAGUACAGAAAUCUAAGUUAUUUAUUAUUAUUGAAAGUGAAAAGGUCAAAUUACACUGGAAUCAAAAUUUAACUUUUGGAAUUUAAAUUGCGGCCAAAUAAGCUGCCGCCGUAUUCGAGAAAAUCACAAAAUCAAGCGAAAUCCUAAAAGUAAAUUAAAAUAGACACCGUCCACGGUGGGACUCGAACCCACAAUCUCCCGCUCCGGAGGCGAGCGCCUUAUCCAUUAGGCCACGCGAACCCUUUGUUCUAUGAGGGUACAAUUUAUUAUUUAAAAUAAUAAACAUUGCGUAAUAUUUGUCAAGGUAAUCAGGUUUAGAUUCCAUAUUAGCCCUAUUAAGAUACGAGGUUGAAAUAUAACUAAAAAAUAUAUUUUUAUUUAAGAGUCACUUUCGAACAAUGUGCAUGUAUCUCAGUAACUACUAUUUAUGAAAUUUAAAAACUCGUUAUCAAUACUUUAUGAUUUUAGAGGGAUAGAAUUAUAAUGUAAAAGGGGAGAAUCUCAAUUAUGAAUGCACUUCCAAGAGGAAAAUCAUUGAAUUAUAAUGUACUUGGGACUUUUAUCUUUUGUUUGGUUGUCAUCAUUGCAGUGGUAGUUGAUUUCUAGUUAAAUAUCCAAUUAAACUAUACAACUUGACAGUACAAAGCAAUGAGGACUGCAAACAAAUACAUGUAAUUAUGUUAUCCAGAUUUACCAUCUUCUUUAAAAUAUAUAUAUAAACCCUCUAAAAAGGAAUUUAAGGACUUGAUUGUUAAAAUAUUCAAUAACUUUUCAUGUAUAAUCCCAAAAUUGUUUAAAUCUCUAAGACAAAAGGGUUUACACCAUUUCUUUCCCAUAGAAAAGAGGUUGAUGAUGCCAAUGUAUAAAGAUCAAUGUAGCAUCUUUUACAAGAUAUAUUUCAAAUUCUGAAUACAUGUCUACCCAUGUUUGAUUUAAUACUCCAUGAACAAAUCUGAAGCUGAACUGGUGGAUGAAUACCAUCUGUAAGUUCUAUAGGAAUUCAUAGUCUUCCGUUGUCUACACCGAUAUAAUGGUUUGUUUAUUGUUCUCCAGCCUCUGGGAUUAAGAAGUUUAACAGAAAAGAAUUGGCUAAAAAUGUGCUGUAUGAAUUGCAAAGGUGAGACUAUUUGGUAUUGAUGUUACCCUGUAAAGCUAAGAAGGACCCAAGGAAGAACUCUGCAUAAUAUAUGAAAGAAUGUCAGGACACCAACCGAAAAAAUAAAUUUGUUGGAGAUGCAGCUCCUUGAUUUGUUUGUAAUGCCCGCUAAUGUCAGAACAAGCUUAUGGGGUUACAGAUGAACACCUGGGGCAACAAAAAUUAAAAGAUAAGAUUCAACAGCAGAAUCGAUAAAUAAUAAAGAUCACCACCCAUUUACCAAAUUGCUAUGUAAUUUAAUACUCGAGUUUUCAAUGAGCGUAACAGAAGAACUGAAGAUAUUUAGAUACAGAAUUUUCACAAAAAAUGAGGCAGAAUGAUGUCAUGUGAUAACACAAGGGAAUAUGCAAAUUUAUGUUACGUUGAUUCGGGUGUUUGUGUCAAAUACAAGCAUGUGCUUGGUAUGUGUAUGUUUUAAUUCUUUCAUUUAUUUGGAAGGUCCUAAGAUCAUAUUCCUAUAUUUAUGUUUGAAUAUGUGUUAGGCACAAAUACUUUAAAAGAAUGAAGAACCAGAGUAUGAUAUACAGUGCAAAAAGACAGAUACGAUAGUCACUGCAUCUGGGGAUUCCAUGACUCUGUAUGUUUACUUCUUUAUGUGGCUUUUGGAAUAAGAAACUACACUAAUAAAGUUAUCAACAAUUUGAAACAAAAAAUGUAUAUAUGAGAACAUUGAAUAACCAGCAUGUUUCAACCUUUCAUUUGAACUUAUAUGAUAAUGAUAAAGCAAAUCACUUUUGUAUGCCAACUCUAAAUCAAGUGCACAGUAGAGUAAUAUUAACAAAGUUAUCAAACUGUGGAUCCAAAUUUUCCUCAACAGGAAGCAUGUGAACUUGAGCUGAAGGCAAAAAUAUAGCAAUAAAGGUGACCGAGUCAAAGCACAUCAUAAAGAAUUAGUACCGUCAAAGAGGGAACUAUAGCAAUAUAGGAGAGCAUCAGUUAGUAGUAAAAAUAGUAGAACUGAAGCGGUGAAUCUGUUUGUAUUUCCUGAUUCUGCCAUUUGCAAUUUAUUAUCAAGCCUAGAGACCAAUUUACGUUUUAGUUAGAUGGAGAAGAAACAAGAGAUUAGCCUACCUUUAUUCUAUACAUAAUGCAGGAGUGCAUCGGCUGAAGAAUUCCUUAACCUACAGCUCUGUCCCAAAUGAACAUCACCAAAGACAUACCUACAUCACCAUACAUCAGUGGAAAUCUUAAUAUAACUUGGGAACAGGAGGAAGAGCCAAAAAUAAAAUAAAAAACGGAACCUGUAUUCACAGUAUUCAGGCCAUGCACAUCGAGCUUUUCCGUAGUCCCAGUAACAGUCAUCAUCCCUCAAGGGCCCUCGCUUUGCUAUCAGCAUUGUUAUAAUGAGUAAAACUCAAAUUAAUCUUUGAGAAAAGUAAAACAGUAAACCAUGUUUUACCUUUUGUAACAAAUUUGGAUGGUGAAUCAGCAUGAAUAUCAUGCCAAAUCUGGAGCCAUAACUCUCGCAUUAGAGCUGGUGAUCUAACGAUGUUCCUGUGAUUUGCUACAUGAAGAUGAUAUCAGUUUUACCCACUUGUAAUGAUAAGAAGGCUGAUGUCAAAGAACAUUAGUUAGCAUUGUUAACUCAAUUUUCUUGUAAAAGAAAAUAAGGAAAAAUUGACAGGGUGCAACUUAAUAUGGAGAACACAUUAGUUAGAAACGGUUUAAAUAACGCUCCUCAACAUAGAGAUACGGAGAAUGCAAAGUAAACAAGCUAAGCAGCUAAACCAUGAAUGAUAGACAAGCUUUUGAAUUAUUUGAUUGUCCUUUAGCAAGAAUCUGAAAGAGGAGCUCCCCAAUUAACAUCACUCUGAUUUUUAUAGAUUAUGCUGGAAGUAAAUCAGCUGAAAGAAAUUUAUCCAAAACCAUAGAGAACCACUUUCAUUAAAAUCCCUAACUGGAUAACAGCACAUAAUCACAACAACCAUAAUGCCGGGCUAUUUAAGAUUCUUAAAAAGCAUGGUAGCAAUGCAAUUAAGUUCAACAUGAUUUGAAAUCGUACUACUAUAUAAGCCAUUUACUGAGAAAAGCAUUAAAGGUAUUGUCACCCACCUUUAUCAAGCUCCCAAACUGCUGUCCUCUUUCCUGGAAUGCUUUCCGAGUCUUCAUAGUAAGUUAUGUAUUUGACUCUAGGUGACCUUGUCAUGUUGGGGACUACAUCUUCAUUAUGAUGCUCAACAUUCAACUCCACUUGUACAUCUGACCCAUCAUGCUCCGACUACAAUAUGCAUGAGAAAGUUUUACUAUUUCAAACUCCCAAUAGUUAUGUCAUAUUUCAGAUAUGGAUUACAAAACCAUAGCAGACAUACUCCUUUUUAUUAUAUCAGAUGGAUAGUGUUCAUAUGUUUUACCUAUUUGCUGCACGAAUGAAAUACUCUAUUUUAUUAUAUAAAGGGAUUGAGAGAAACAUGCAACAAACUAUGUUAUACAGCUCAUAAAUCAAAUAGCUCAUCAAACUAACCACAAAAAAGAAAAAAAAGCAAUCUGAUAUAUGUGAUGUGUUAAAUAUCCAGAAGAUUGAAAGCUUUUCAAUAUCAUCAUCAUAAUAAACAUAUCAAGGCACUUGCAUUUGACCAAGAAUACCUGUGGAGCUCUUGUUAUGUUCACUCUGGGCCCAAGCCAGUUCUUGCACCAAGAUAGGGAAUGAUAUGGUACCUGUCACAAUUAUGUAAGUGUUAGACCAGUAACUAUAAAACUCAGAUCAGUGAUUGUAAUCCAGUAACAAAGAUUCUUGAUGCAUUUGAAGAAUGAAAUAGAAUGAUAUAAGGGUCACUGAGCUCACUGUCUCAUCACCACUUGCAGGUCCUGGAUUUCCUUCAACCUGAUUCCCUGACCUACAAGAACAAGUGCUACGCUAUUUAAAAGUAGAAUCUAAUGAGAUCAAAUCAUCUUUCAAUAUUUAUUACUGCAGCCACUGCUUUACCUCGUUUACAACAAAUAAUAGUUACUGUUAGAGCUGUUUUAGUUCUAAACAUAGGGAAGAGAUAUGAUUUAGGCAUAAAUGCAGUUAAACAAAUUAACUGAUCCAGUGUGGAUGAUGCUUACCGCGAGACCAGUGAUCCUUCAAUUUCAUAGAUGACAUCAGUAAUUAUCCAAUUAUCAGGGUAAGGUUUGCCGCUUGGUGCAAAAUAAUAACCAACCUGCUCGCAUUAUCAUUCAACACGAUAUCAUCAUAAAAAUUAACCACAAUAAGUAAUAGAAAAGCAAUAACGAUGUGUAACAACUAUAGUGCUAUUCCCCUUUUGUCAGUUAUUCAAACAGCUCUUAAGGGGUUCCUAAUGCAUGACAAUAGUCUCAAACAUGAACAAGAUAAUUAGAAUUUAUAUUCAAAAUUUAACCAUACCUCAGUCCUAGAAUCUACUCCAUAGAUACAGAAAACAUUCUUAAUAGGUGGUCUAUCCCAUGGUGUAAGAGGAUUCAGAACAGGAUCAUCAUGAUAUGACCUGAAAAAUACAACAUAGAAAUAAAGCCAAGUCAAAAUAAAGAAGUCUAAGUUACAUGGUUUGUAUUAAUUAAACUUCCAGGAAAAUCAUUAUUCAAACCAAUAGAAGAAAGUACUAUGAUAAAUUACAAUUAAAAAUAGAAAUUUCAGUUUGUCAAGUAUCAGCCAACAAUGAGAAACAACCACAGACUCUGAAAGAAAACAUGUUGAAAGCAUCUUGACUGGUCUUCAGUGCAAGCAGAUGGGAAUUGAUGAAAGUCCAUUUAACAUUAAUAACUUAUGACAACUGUCAAGCCUGCUUAUGUGAUAGUUCCAUGAAAAAACCACAAUCAUCGCAUCUCCAUAUAAUUUUAAUUAGUACACGUGAUUCAUGUUCAAGAUGAAAUCACUUAGUAUUAGUAUGUCAACAAUCGACAAACACUAAGAAGAUAUCAGAGUCAGAGAUUGUUAAAUUAUUUGAAAGUAUCAUAGCUAGUAUAAAAUACAUUUAAACCAUGCCUAAACACUUCUUCUGUAGCUCCACAUGAUCUUUUAAAGCAAAAAUGCAGCUCAAGACUCUCAAUAACGAGAUUUGGGAUGAAAAGCCACUUCAUAUAUCAAAACUAGCACCUACAACAUGGGACUGCAUGCAUGAUACACUAGGUGCCAUUUAAGUAAAAUUUAUGCUGAAAGAAGAUUUAAGACCCGACAACUAGAGUUAUAAGGCUUCUAUUAUGAAAUGUUCACCACAGGCAAUAAAGUUGACAGACAUCAUUCUUACAAUCAAUUACGUCUAUAUCACCAAAUAAUGACCUAGAAAAAGGUAAAUCAUAAUUUUCUCAAAUGGCAUAAAGUUGUGAGAAUACCCACUUCUUCAGUUGGUGCAAGGUCCUCUUGCUAUCUGAAUCAUAGUCCUCUAUUGCUUUGAAAAAGGUCCCAUCUGAUAUUUCACGAGCUGAAAAUGACAACUGUGUUGGGAGUCCACAUUCCAUGCUAGAGUAGUUGGUCUGGGAAAACUCUGAAACUGAUGGAUAGGCGUCAAUCCCUGUUAAUAAAAGAGAUUGCUGUGAGCUUUAUAGCAAUUAACUACAAGUCAUAAAAACAAAUAAAUAAAUAAAUAAAAGAAUAAUUUAUUCCAAAGCCUUACCACGGGUUGAAGGUAUUUCAAUGUUGAUUAUAUUAGUUGAAAAACCAGAGUAAUUUGACUGAAAUUCCUUUUGCUCACAUUGAUAGGCAUUAGGCCCCUUCCUGAUUCCCCCAGAAAAAUGCUUCAAAUACAUGGCGUCUGCCCUACAAUACUUUGAAAAUGGCAUCAUCCAUAAUGAAGAACCAAAUGAAUUGAACAUCAACCGAGCAGUUCCCUGAUACCUUGCCAAAAUAUAAAGUAAAUAUAUGUUAAAAAUGCACCAUUAUAUAACAAAUAUUUUUAAUUCCUACAUUUUAGGAAGCAAUGGCAGUCAGUAACAGCAGUAAAUUGAUAUAGAUUCCAUCCCAGUAGUGCAAGUUAAUUUGAUUCAAUCGAGUUGAGUUAUACAAAAUUGAGGACAUCAGGACUUACAAAGAAAUUAAGGAAUUCUGUUGCCAAUUUGCUAUUCCUACAUGUGCUGUAAGGAACAUCAAUAACUUAACUGUUCAGCAUAAAUGUUUUUAACAUCUUGAAUUUUCUCUGGUACUAUUGAAUCAAAGUUUUUCAUAUUGCAUUACUAGACCUGUUUCAUGGAAUCAUGGGAAAUCUUCGGGUGGUUUUAAGACUUCAACAGCAUGUAUCCCAUUGGAAAUCUAAUAUGUUUUCUACAAAAGCUGCCUACAAUUACCUAUCAUUGAAUGUGACAGCAGAUUAAUUUGUUACAAGGUUCUACCAUAAGUUUAAUCUUCAUAUGCUAUUUCCAUAAAGGGGACUAGUUUCAAAAAGCUGUAUGAUAUACUCCAGAGCCAAAAAUCAAGACUAGAUGGAAGAGAAUAACAGCUUGGAGUAUUAUGUUUUAUGAUAUUCUCCAGGGCACAAAUAUCUAUAGUUCUAUAUUGAAUAUCCAUUACUGUUACAUAUGCAUGCUCAUGUAUUAGCUGUUUAAUUGAAAAGGAACCAUAACAAAGGUAAGCUGCUUUCCACUUGAACAUUAAAAGCUGUUAAAGAAGUUCAUGCAGGAACUUAGUUUUAAGAUUGAGAAAAAGUAGAAUGCAACCUCAGAAACAGGAAGGCCAAAUGUGUUUCCAGAAAGCAUUCCUUUGACUGUCUCAGUUGAACCAAGAAGAGGAGCUCCUAGAAGGAAAAAGAAUAAAAUGUGAAACCCAAGAAAGGGCAAACAUUACUAUUCCAGGAAAAUAAUAAAGGAUUUUAUGCAGAGGAUCAUACCGACAGCAAAAAAAGCAUAAAUAUGAUCAUCCAACCAUUGGAUGUACUGUUUUGGUGCAAUUUCUAGCUUUAACCACUCCAAAAAGUAACGGAAGACAUUAUUACCCAAUGAAUGAGCAAACACAAUUGAUGGCCCCCCUCGAAGUUUAAGAGCAGUUUCGAAUGUCUGCCUACAACCAGAACUUGCACACUGAUUAAAAUAGCCUAACUCCACUGUCACAAUAUUGCAAUAAAGCAUAAUAAUCAGUUGGAAAUCUGUAACUAUUAUGUUAAUUUAGUUUAACAUCAAUAAGAAAUCAUGAAAAUUCAACUUAUGAACAUCUACAACAAUGCACAUUCGAUGUAUCCUAUAGUUAAAAGUGGCAGAGUAGCACCCAGCCCAAUAUACGGCUCUAGGGUUCUAGUCUUGAGAAAUCUGGAGUUGGAUUCUUAUGUUGGGUGCAUAGAAAAUAAGCAAUUGCAAAGCACAACCCAAUAUAUAUUUUAUGCCUCACAUAUAAGUAUCUAUAGACGCAACAAUUUUCUCUGACUUGGAUUUAAACGAAAAGCAACUAUAACUAAAUUAUACACUAUCAAGAAAAUAAAAGAAAUGCUACAUCAAAAUCAACUUUCAGACCAAUGACCAGAAAAGUAGUGUGUCUUUGGAAGUUACUAAAAAAGAGGCAUCACAAUUCAGAUUUGCAGAAAUCAUGUAAUUUAGGUCUCUUUUGGUUAUCAGAAAAUAGCACUGGAUCCAAGCAUUUAAACAAACAAAUACAAUUCCACUUAUACAAUUUCAGAAUCAUAAAUUCAGUCUCCAAGAUGACGAAAAUACUCUUAUUAGAUUUAAGAAUCUUAAGGUCCUUCAUGGUGCCCAAUCAUUCAUAUCAGUGAAGUUCUACAUUCAUUGAAAAUAUAUAUUCAGCAAAAUCUUGUCAGAAAUAGAUGUUUCAAUAGGAAUAAACAUAUUUACUUUCAGUUAUGAAGAAUGCAUCCAUGAUGUACCAAAAGAUUAGUUACUGCAAAUAAAAAGAAAUUUAUUUGGCUACAUGCAUCAGAGGUAGUAAAAAUAGAAUGAACCAGGAAAUAUGCAUACUUUAACUUGUAAAAGUAAAGGUCUCGCUCCUCAAGCAUUGAUGGUGACAAUCUCCAAUCGUAUGGGGCAGCUAUAAUUGCAUUAGCCUCAAUACCAAAUUCAAUGCACCACUUAACCCAUUCUUUCCACACCGAAGAAAGAGGGCCUGUGGCCACAGAGAAAUUUUAGUUAAACAUGAAGCAUUUUGCAGCCACUUGAAAUACGUUUUAGAAUCACAGAAAGUGUAUAUUAGAAAGAAAAAAAAAAGGAAAAAAAAAAAGAGAGAAGAAUACCUGUAAUGUAACCUGGAUCAAGUUCAGUAAUAGCAGAAAGACCACUAUCAGGACGUGACUUACAUUCUGGAUUAUCAGUUUGGUUGUACGGAUCAAGUAACAUACACUUAAGCCAACAAUUUACAGCUGAGAGGAGCUGCAGAUCAAAGAAGCGUAACAAUCUUAGUAUAUUAAAAACAACCAACUAUUCACCACACGAUACAACCUAUGUUACUCCCAACUCUUCAUUUUUCCUGAAGUAACCAUGUCCAAAACUUAUUCGGAUAUGGAUAUAGGAGCAUGAUAUAUGCAAAAGAAGUCAGAUAAAAUUGAGUGUAUCCAGGUCGGGCACAUACCCGCAUCCCACACUUAGCAUUUAUCUACUAAAUUCCUAGUCGAUAACAUCCUUCACUGUUAACCAAGGCCAAGACGUACAUAAGCUUUAUCGAAAAAACACUCAAAUUCAACUUCUUAGAACCUAUAAUACAUCCUAAAAUCCCAUGCACGAGCAAAUAAAAACAAGAUACGAGAAAUAGAAAAAAGGUUAAACAGGAAUAUAUGUGCAUAUAAUAUUCAAAAAGAAAGUUAAAAGACAAUUUUAUUCUGCUAUCUUAAAAGACAAUUUUAUUCUGCUAUCUCUAUUAAUCAACCAAACUUUUACUUUUUUCUAACUAUUUUGUUUGUUUAAUCCAAGAACCAGACAGAAUAUAAGCAUAACAGAAACACGAGGAAACCAACUGUAGAUUAAAACGACAAAGAAGAUUGAAUAAAACGGCGAUAAGAAGACCAAAAGUAGGGGGAAUCCUUACUUUAGUAGUGUCGAGCCAAACCAAGUCGAGGGGAUUGAAAUCGAGAGGAGAGUAAGGGCAGUCGAGAAUGGACCAAGCUCUCAACUGAGUUGAAGCGAAUCCAGGGAUUAUUAUCCCCGAUAGCUUUGAAUAAUCUCCUCUCAACUCUCCUUCACCGAGUUGAAAUGUUCCCAAGAAUAGAACUGCCGCAAGUGUCAUCGCUAAACGGCGGUGCUCUCGUUCGUCUCCGCCCAUGGUUGAUUCCUUUGUUUCUCUGUCAUUAGUCAUUGCCUGGGCCUAGCAGCCAUUAAAAUGUUUACAGAGUGUGUGAUGGCUGACUUUUCAACUUCCAUUGGGGGAAUUAAAAAAUAAUAAUAAACACGUUGAAAUCGAAUUGGUUUUUAAAUAUUUUGUAAAAAAUAUAUAUAUUGAAAAAUAAACAGUGAAACGACGGCGUCUCGCUUUUAACUAACAACAUUCCGUGGCGCCAAAAGGAAGGAGCUGAAGUUUUUCGAAGCAACGAAGAAUCCGAAGCUGAGAUCCGUCCAUCAACUCCGGCAACGGCGGAAAACGACGUCUCAAAGAUCAAAGCAGCAGUCUUCCAUUUCCUCGAAUCUUUGAGUCGGCUUUCAUUUUCUUCGCAAGAUUUGUAUGGCACAAGCCAAAAGAAAAUCAAGUAAGAUCUCAAAUACAAUAAGAAAGAUCUGAUUGGACUCUAAAUUUAAUUGAAUCUAAUGCGCUUUCAAGAAAUUAGGGUUUCACAUCACUUGUCUUCUAACUCAAAAUUUAAAUCGAUUCUAAAAUUUAAAACAUUUUAUUUGAAUCCUCAAAAUAUUAAUAUUGUAUUAAUUAAGCCUUUUCAUUAAUUUGAUCGUCAAUUUAAAUGUUAAAUGUCAAUUUAAAUCUAUAGUAGCAAAUUUAAAACACAUCAAUAAAGCUACAAACACUUGUGUACUUAUGACAUUAAAAAUAUGUUAGAUCCAAACGUAAGUUUACAAUCCGAUCCAUAUAUUUUAAAUAUACUACAAAUCAAUUUACUUUAAAUUUUAAAGACUCAAUUAAAAUAUUUUAAAAUUUAGAUACUAUUUUAAAACUCGAAUAAUAGUUUGAGGAUAUUUAAUGAAAUUAACUACGUAUAUUAAUCAAAUUCCAGCCGCCCAUUUGUGUCAUCGGCCUUAACGUCAAGACUGAGCUCCACAAGUUAUAACAUUGUCGAAUUGAGUCAAGGAAUUCAGACCAUCAAAUAAUUGAAUUUGAACAUUUUAAUACUUGAUUCGAGUAGCUCGAGAUCCUAGUUGAGCUUUAAUAUUUUAAUACAUAUUUUGAUUAUUCAACUAUCAAAUUAUAAAAUUUAUUUGAAGAGUAUAUCUGGCUCACAAAAUAUAAAAUUAUCAGAAUGUAAGAUUACUUAAGACAUCAGUAGAUAUAUUAUUACAUUGUCCUAUUUAAUUCAUUUGCUUAAAACGUGAAAUCUAUUAUUUGAUUCACGGAAUAUAAAAUUAUCUAAAAGUAUAUUUUAGUAAUUAUAUAAUAUUGUUUGAAGAAUAUUGAUACAAAAGUUUAAACAGUAUGCUUAUAUUAAUAUAUUAAUUUUCCUUUUUAAGUACAAACAUUAUCUCAUUAUUUGAAUGCAUCAACGUCCUUUGUUUUUUUAUUUUAUCACUAAGUAUAUUUUUUUUAUAAAAAUUAUUUUAAAUAAUUUCUAAAUUUGAUUAAUAUACUAUUUUAUAUUAAAUAUGAUAAGCUAUAACUUUAUAUAUUUUAUUAAUGUAUUAAUUUUAAAAUAUUACGCUAUAAUAAAUUUAAAAACUAUAUACAGAACAUAUAUAAUGUCGUAAAAUUAAGACUUAAUAUAUUAUUUGAUAUUUAAAUUUGACACUUUUUUAAUGUGGUGUCCGUGUUUUUUCUUUUGUCAAAUGUGAUACAUGUAUUUGGUAAAAUUUAUGAAUUUUGCUGCUUGAAAGUAAUUGUGUUAACCAGUGUUUAAUUACGUUUUGGGGGUGAUUUAAUGAAAAUUUAUAAUUAACUAAUAAUUCUUUUAUCAAAUCGAUCUUAAUAUGAAACUCUAUUUAACAAAUAAAACACAAAAUUAAACAAAUUCACAAUUAACACUAAACUUUUUCCAUUAACAAAAUCAUGAAAAUUCAAACUUAAUAAUGUUAGCAAUUAACUUUUAUCAAAUCCACAAUAAAACUCAAACUAAAUACUAAUAAGUUACCAUUGUUAUUUUUUAGUAUCAAAAUGUAUAACUUUUGACAAAUUCAAACACAGGUACCAAAUUAAAUUUUUAUUACUUAUUUUACAUUUUUACAAAAAAAAUAAACCUUAAAAAAAAGUUAUUUUCUCCAUCUUUGUUCUUCAAUUGAUCGGAAAUUAUAAAGCUUCAUCGGAAAAGUUAAAAAUUCCCAUACUUUGGUGAGCUUUUCUAGAUUUAAACCAACUCUUUUUUCUUUUUUAAAUUUCAAUUUUUGUAAAUAAAUUUUUUUGUUUACUUACUUUCAUACGAGAGUAGCAUCACAAUUCCAAAUUUUUAUUUUUUGAUACAAUGUCUAGAAUUACCCAUAGCCCUCCCCAACUAUUAAAUAAGAGGAUAAUACACUUUAGUGCAUUUGAACUUACGUCAUCUUACACUAGCAAUUUUAUUUUAUUUUCCUUGAAUAGAGCUACUCGUAGACAAAGCACAUUGCAAUUUUAAGUUUUUUUUUUUUUUGGUAAUCCAUUAUGAAUAUAUUAUCUAUCUCUUUAAUCAUAUGAUUCUUUUAAAGAUUAAAAAUUAACCACAAAUUUUCAAUAUUAGGCAAGAAUAACUAAAACUAUAGUUUAUUCAUAACAAAAAAAAACAUAAUAUGAUACAAUUAUUUUAAAAAUAUGCUAAUUUCAUUUCUUACUAUGUUCAAAAUUUGCUCUUACAUAAAAAGAAAAGUUGUAAAAAUAAUAGUUAAUAUAUAUGAAUUCAAAAUAAAGAAAAUGACAUAAUUGUAAAAGUUAAGAAAAAAAUGGGUAACACAUGGUUUGAGGGUGUAAGUGUCUCGGGCCGCAGAUCAAAGCCUGUGACCAAUGCACACAUAACGUUCCAUGGAGGUCGACUAAUUAAAUGAGACUUAUUUGACCCACUUGAACUGACCUGAUUCAUGGAACACAUGGAGAUUAAAGCCUUGGUGGCUUAGUGGAACGCUCCAGUAAAACUAGAGUUAUCAUGGUGAAUAUUGUAAAUCCUAAAGGAUAAGAUUGUAUAGAGUUUAAAUCUCUUUGGACUCUAAUCUUGUAGAUAGGCACUAAUCUCAACCAUUGAUGUAACUCAAUCUGUACCGCUAGAUCUAAGAAAUUUAACUAUAAAUAGAGCCCCCUCUUUAUUUGUAAUCAUUUCACUUCAUUAUUGAUUUAAAGAAUAUAUUUGAGAGCAUUUACUUAAACACCUUGCGUGCAUUGCUUUCUUGUGGCUUUUCUAUUCAAUUUAAGUUCAUUUCUUUUUUGAAUUGCUUCAACUUUAUUUUUGGUGCCUUAGAGAAUUUCUAAGAGAAGUCUCACUUAAAGAGAAUUAGGUUGACUUAGGUGGAUUUGAAGUAGAGAAAUCGCCUAAGGCCGCGCGGUUUGUAAGACUAAAGUUUUAGCCCCAUGACAGUUGGUAUCAGAGUCAAGGUUUAAAGGUAUUAAUUGAGAUGAAGAAAGGACUAGAUAAGUAGGUUGACCUUAAAGAAACUGGCGUGAGGGAGGUAAGAAAGAUAUCAGAUCAAGGAAUAAGAUGCCAACUUUAGAUAGUAGGGUUGCCAAACUCGAGAGAUCCAUAGGUGAUGUGAAGGAGACCCUUGAAGAAGUUGAGGGAUGCAUUGCAAAGCUAAAAUUAAGGCAAUAUCAGCUUAAAUGGCAAGUGGCAGAGGCCCUUGAUGUUAAUGUAGAUGUGAUGCAAGGGGUUCUCAAUAUCGUUGUGUGUAAGUUGACUAAGAAGAAUGAUGCUCUCAAGGUAGGCCAUGGCGUUGGCCUUGAAGGAACAGAUUGAGGAGCUCAAUGAGAGCACGUUAUCUGCAAAGUUGCUUUGGUUAAUGGGGUGUUAUUUGCGAUACCCAAGCCUAAGGUAGAUAUCGAUGAGCUGAAAGAGUUCAAUGGGACGAGGCCUACAAAAGAUAUGGACAACUUUUUGUGGGGAAUAGAUCAAUACUUUCAUGCCAAAGGCAUCAUGGAUAAUGCUACUAAGGUAAAUACUACUACUAUGUAUUUUACUGAUGUCGCUAUAUUAUGGUGGCGUCGUAGGUCUACAGAUGAAAGAUGAUGUGGUAUCAUUAUUUAGACUUAGAAGGAGUUUUAGAGUGAAAUUAAGGGGUAGUUUUACCUAGAGUAUGUCAAGGAUGAGGCUUGAGCUAAGUUGCAUCAACUUACGUAAUAAGGCAUAAUUAGAGAGUAUAUACAACAGUUUAGUAAAUUAUGCUCCAAAUUUUCAAUUUGGGUGAGAAUAAUGCAUUCUUCUCUUUAUGGAUGGGCUGAAUUCUUAGGCAAAGUAAGGGUUGCAACAUCUAGGAGUCAAAGAACUUACCAAAGCCAUGACAAUAAUGGAGUCCUUAAUCAAGCUUGUUCCGAGGAAAGGCAAGUUUGAGUUUUCCAAGCCUAAUGAGAAGGAUAAUGGUGGAGGGAGAUGAAGAAAGACAAGUUAAAAAUAGCAAUAGUGGAAAUGGUGGUAAUGAGAAACCUCAUAAUGGGAAGUGAAAGUCCAACAACAAAUCAAAAGAGCUAAUGGGGUGCUUCUUAUGUAGUGGUUUGCAUAGGGUACGGGACUGCCCAAACAGCGAUCCAAAAGCUAUUCGUAAUCAGUAAAGAAUAUGAAGUGGAGCCUGAUGAGGAAAGGAUAUUAAAGCUUGGGUCAAUAAUACUCAAUUAUGCUAAAGCGAAGAGGGAUCACAAGUAGAAAAAGUUGAUGUUUGUGGACAUCAACAUCAUAAGAAAAAGGAGAAAUGUUCUUGUUGAUACGGGGGAUUUUGAUUUGUUUACAUUAGAGAAAGUUGUGGGUAAACUUGUUCUCUUAGUUAGCAAAUUGAAUAAGAAUAUCAAGACUUUAAUUCUAAAGAGGUCUCAACUAUGGGAGUAGCACAAGGAGUUGAGCUACAAAUCGGUGAGUGGAAAGACAAGGAAGACUUAAUGAUUACAACUUCAUGUUUGGUUUGAAUUUCAUUGAUCAUAUUAAUACUCUUUUGGUUCUUUUUGCUAAUUGUAUUUGUAUCUUAGAUACUCAUCAACGACAAUGCAUUGUGUCGGUGAGUCAUGAUGAGAAAGGUGGAACCAAUGUAUUGUGGGUAAUUCAACUAGCCAAGAAUGUUCAUUGUGGCAAGAACAUUGACUUGGUAGAUCGAAGUUUACGAAGGCCCUUUAGAAAUGCUAAAGGCGCGACAAACCGAAGUGAAACCUGUUGGGUUAUCAAUGGCUUACAAACAAGAGUCAGCAACAAUACUCAAGGUUAACCCUGUGUUGAAGCCUAUUUGUGAGGAUCAAGGGGAUCCGAACGAGGCAAUUCGCAAUGGGGGCAAGUAAAAAACUAUAGGCUCUUGCGAACAAUAUGAACAAAGAAAGGAAAUAGUUCAAGUUAGACAAUAACAAAGACAUAAGCUGAGGAAAAUAUUUUGCGGGGCGAAACUACCUAAUAAAGAGAAUGGUUGGGAAUCAACUAAGGUGUCGUGGCAGAUUUGAGAUGAGUUAGACCAGUGUCAUUCCGAAGAGGACAAGAGCAUCGCGAGAAUGGGUGGGGGAGAAUGUCACAGGCUGUAAAUCAAAGCCCAUGAAGAAUACACACAGAAUGUCCCAUGGAGGUCAACUGAUUAAAUGUGGCUCAUUUGACCCAUUUGAAUUGGCCUGUUUGUAGAACUCAUAGAGAAGCCCAUCUACUUAAAGCCUUGGUAGCCUAGUGGAACACUUUAGUAAAACUAGAGUUACCAUAAUGAAUAUUGUAAAUCCUAAGGGAUAAUAUUGUAUAGAGUUUAAAUCCCUUAAGACUCUCAUAUUAUAGAUAGACACUAAUUUCAGCCAUUAAUUUAACUCAAUCUGUACCGUUGGAUCUGAGUGAGCUCAACUAUAAAUAGAGCCCUCCCCAUUCAUUUGUAAUCACUUCACUUCAUUCUUGAGUUAAAGAAUAUAUUUGAGAGCAUUUACUCAAACACUUUGUGUGCAUUGCUUUCUUGUGGCUCUUUUGUUCAAUUCAAGUUUCUUUCUUUUCUUUUUUUGAGUCACUUCCGCUUUUAUUUUUAAGUGCCUUAGAGAGUUUUAAGGAGAAUUCUCACUUUAUGAGAGUUAGGUUGACUUAGGCGGAUUUGAAGCAGAGAAAUCGCUUAAGGCCGUGCAGUUUGCAACACUAAAGUUUUAGCCGUGUGACAUAAGGUCCCUUCCAUGAUUAAAAUAAGUAAUAUUAUUUAACAAUAUUUUAGUCCUUUCACUUAAAAACAAUAAAAAUAUACAUACGAUGAAAUUUGAACCCACACCAAUUGCAUUAAUAAAACCUUUAAUUUACCGCUCAAGUAAAUAUUUAUUUUAAUAUUUUUAUACAUUUUACUUUUAUUGUGCACACUUUAUUACCUAUAUCAGUUGUAUCUAUACCAUUAUUUAAACUCCUUAUUGAAUUGGUGUCACGAAUCAAUUGGACACCAACUAGGUUAGAGAAAUUAUGAAAAUAUUCAUUCGUAAUUAAAAUAAGUUAUAUUAAUCAAUAGUAUUUUAGCCUUGCAUCUAAAAACAAUAAAAAAAAAUAUAGAUAUAGAAAGAGAUUUGAACCCCCACCAAUAACAUAAAUAAAACUUUAAAUCUACCCAUCAACCAGAACUCUAUUUUAAUUUAUUUAUACAUUUUAAUUUCAUUAUACCCACUUUAAAAAUAAUUUUCACAUAAUUUUCACAGGCAUGCAUAAUAAAAUUUAUAAUUUUUAUUUAUUAUUUUAAAUGGAAUCUUCACAUCAAAGUUGCGGACUUGUUUGGCUUUUUAGUUCCCAAGAGGAUUAAUUUCAUUUUAUUUUUUUAGCACUAAUGGCAUUCUCAUAUUGACUGAAUUGAGGCAGCUGGAUAUAGUAGCUUUGUCUUUGUUUUGUAACAUUCACUCAAUGAACACACUAAAGUUGAAAUAUCAAAUUUCAACAUAAAAAAAAUUUGAAAUAUUAAAACGUGAAAAGUUUAAUUUAAAAAAAAGACAAAGCUAUAUACAAUUUAAGAUAUUCAACCAAGCCUUAUAGUUAUCACCAUUUGUUCAUUUCAUAGCCAUAUCAAUAACCAUCAUUUUCUUGUAUUUCAGAUAAAUACAUAUAACCAUAUAUAAGCAUGCAAUUCACUAUUUCUUCUUGUCAAUCACAAUUUCAAAUGACAGAUUCAUGUAAAUGAGCUCAAUAUCAUUAGCUGUUUAAUUUCUGUCACUUAAAUUCACAUACACAUAAUUUAUUAACAUAACCUGUCAAACACAACCUCUGAAUGAUAAGAUCAGAUAAUUGAGCUCAAUUUCACUGUUCAAUAUGUUUUAUCACAUAAAAUUUGCUUAACACUUACCACAAUUUGUCAAAUUAGAGAACGUAUUACGGAAUUGAGUACUUUGUUUUCACAUUGUCAUAGUAUAACUAUGGUCUUGCACAUCGUCACAUAUCACACACCGAAGCCAUAGCCUAGCUAUGGUCUUACACGGAAACACAAAUCACACCGAUGUCAUAUCCCAUAUAUGGUCUUACACGGAAAUCACAUAUCACACCGAUGUCAUAUCCUAGAUAUGAUCUUACACAGAAAUCACAUAUCACAUCACACCAAUGCCAUAGCCCAGCUAUGGUCUUAUACAGAAGCACAUAGUCACAUCACACCGAUGACAUAGCCUAGCUAUGGUCUUAUACGGAAGCACAUGAUAAUCACAUUUUCACAUGUUGUCAUGGUCAAACCAUGGUCUUUUCUGUCAAUUCAUCACAUAUCAUUGAACGAAAGUAGUCAUUCCUGCCUUCUACUCAAUUUGACCUUUUAGUUCUUUUUACGUACUUUUACAAUAUUCACACUUUAAAUACAAACAUAUGAAAUGAUUCAUCAUUUCUUUCAUUUACUAACAAAUAAUUAUUAAAUUCAGCUAUAUGAACUUACAAUUCGAUUUUUAUAACAUAACGAUAAUCAUAAUUUCAUAAUAACUAUUUGAAAUAAAACAUUAUAUCAUUUCUAAUUCAACGUUUAUUGAUUAUAAUCAGGCAUAUGACCAAUUUAUACAAGAGUCAUUCAUAUAUUUUCCUCCUUCUCCUCUCCAUUCCACAUCCUUAAUGUAUAUAACACGCUUAUAAGUAACAUUCUCUAUAAUUUCACUAUUUACUUAUAUGUAUAUUCAAAGCUGUCCAUUCGUGUCAUAGUCACUAAAUUAUUUUUAUCUUGAGCUACAGAACUCCAAAUUAAGAUCAGCUUGAUGUUUUUGAAACUAGAUUCAUAUAUCUUUCUACCAUAAAAUUUUAGAAUUUAUAUUUUAGCCAAUUAGUACAGUAAAAUCUUCAAAUUUAUCCCUGUUCUGCUAUUUGGCAGCUUUGACCUUUGCUUACUAAAAAUUAAUUAUCUCUUAGAAAAGAACUUGGAUGAUAUUCCCAUUUGUUUCUCUUAAAAAUAGACUCAUUAAUAAUUUAAAAAUAUAAAUUUAAGCUCAUAAUUAUUUUUCUCCAAUUUUUUAUGAUUUUCCAAAGUCAAAACAGGGGAACCCGAAAUCAUUCUGACAUUGUCUCACAAAAUUUAUUAUAUCUCAUGAUUUACAAUUUCAUUACUUACACCGUUUCUUCUAUGAGAAACUAGACUCAAUAAGGCUUAAUUUCAUAUUUUAUUCAUCUUGUAAUUUGAUUCCCAUAAUUUUUUAUGAUUUUUCAAAGUUAGGCUACUGCUGCUGCCCAAAACUAUUUUAGUGCAAAAUGUUGAUUGCCAUUAAUUUUAUUAUAAAGGUUUAAUAUAACUUUUGGUACUUCAACAUGUCAUUUAUUUUUCUAGUACUUAAAUUUGACACUUAUUCCUAAUAGGCAUAAUGACUUAUUUGGUCUUCCAAUUUUACAAAAGAUUUUAUUUUAAUCCUCAAUUUAAUUUUUCAUUUCUUUUAAUCCUUAAACUUGCAUUGCUUGUCAAAUCAACUCAAAAUGGAUGGCAAAAUUAACAUUUGUUAAUAUUGUUGAUAUUGCCAAGUAAGCAAUUAAUUUUUUAAAAUUUAAAAAUUCAAUUUUUUUAUAAAAUUUAUUAAAAUGAUUAAAAAAUUAUAAAAUAUAAAUAAAUAUUAAUUUUUCCAUCCAAUUUAGAUUAAUUUGACAAAAAACGGAAGUUAAGGGCUAAAAGAGACAAAAAAAUUAAAUGACGGCUAAAACAAUUUUUUCUAAAGUUGAAAGGCCAAAUAAAUCGUUAUACCUUCCUAAUCUGGUACUUAAAUUUUUUUUAGGUCCAAUUUAGUACAUAAACUUGACAACUUUUCUUAAUUUGGUACUUAAUAUUUUGUUCCAGUCCAAUUGGGUACUUGAACUUGUCAAAUGUUAUAUAAAUUACUUCAAUGUACUAAUAAUGUUAUUUUUAUUAUGAGGUUACAAAAAUAAUUAAUGUAUAGUAGAUGGUAUGAAUUUUUUUAUUUUAUUAAUUUAAAAUAAUGAAUUUAUUUUAUUUUGAAUUUUUGAAACUCUUAUUUUCUUAUUCAAUAUUAAUUCGUUAAACAUAACUCAAUGCAUAAUUUUUUAACACAAAUUUCCUCUACUACCAACAAUAUUUUUGUUAAAUUGAAAGCUUUGUGGUCCUUCUUAAAUUAUUCUUGCCAUUAACAAUCAAAAUAAUCUCAGCCCCAAUAUAAAGUAAUAUUUGAGCAUAUUGUUUACCGUAAUAUAAAGAAACCAAAUAAAAGUAACCAUUCCAUGUCAUUUAUCAUAUGUUACUCAUACAUUUUCUAUUUUUAUCAACUUAUAAAAAAAAUAACACUGUUAGUGUUUUGCAAUAAUCUGUAUAACAUUUGACAAGUUUAAAUAUCAAAUUCAACCUAAAAAAAAUUUAGGUAUCAAAUCAGGAAAAAAAUUUAUUAAAAUCAAUAAAAUUAUAUCUCAAAUUAAUAAAAAAAUUUGUCAAAUUCAAGUACCAAAUGUUAUAUUAAGCAUAUUACAAAACCCAAUUUUUUCUCACCUUCCGCAUUUGCCCUAAAAUUUCACAAAAAUAGGUUUCUUUCUCCCGUUUCUCUUCUUAAAUACCUUCUCGAUGUCUAAAAUUGAUACCUUAUUAAACUCGCGUUAUCUUAAUUUUUAAAAAUGCAAAUUUAAUUUAAUAUUUGAUUGUGAUCCAAAGAAAUGAAGAAAUUUAUUUAUACAUUUUUAGAGUAAAUUGCAUUUUAUUUAAAAAUAAAAAUAUCACCAAAUAUUCUUCCAUUAAUCACAAAAAUAUCAGGUUCUAUUUUGAUUUAGUCUAUGUAAUAGGACAUCCCAUUUUUAAUAAAAAUCAAUGACAUUUCACCCAACCUAUCCAUGAUUUAUAAUAAAUCUGAAAUUAAAUCAAGACAUUUUUUGAAAAAUUAGGUAUAUAUGUUGGUUUAAAAAAAGUAAGGUUUUAGGCCGUUUUAUUUGAAAAUUAGGGAAAUAAUGUGUUCUACACGGUGAGUUCUCACCCUCUCCUAUCAUGCCACCAGAAAUCACUUUUUGUAAAAAAUAAUAAUAAUAAAUUAAUGAUUAGAUUGAGUUUUGAAAACCCGAAAAUCCUGGAAUAAAAUUUACAUCUCAUCGUUUUCAUGGCAAAACAUGAAUAUUAUCUUUAAAAACUUCUCAAAAAACCGCUUCUUAUUAGAAAGUUUUUUUACUUGUCAUGACCGAUCUUUUCCAACAUUUUGAAAGAUUUUUCAUAUUCGGUGGUAGAGUUUCCUAUAAAAUGAAGAUUGAUAUGGAGAGAUUGUCAUAGUUAAAUUUUGAGCAUAAAAUUUACAUAAGGAGAAAAUUGUUGAUGUUAAAUAUCUUAAGUUUAAAAAUCGACCCAACAAAGUAAAUUAGAUCAAGUAAGCGUCGUUUGAAUUUGGUUAAUGAGUAUAUAUUUUUUUGUAUAAUAUUUUAGUUUUAAACAUGUGAAACAAGUUUUUUGGCGAAGAUAAGUAGACGAAUUAAAUUCGUUAUUUAUUAUGACGGUCAAAUUUGUUACACCGAAAUUAUGGUCAUUUUUGUAUCAACCCAAUAUACAGAAUUGGCUUUCAACUAGAUCAUCAAAUUGAAUGAGCUUCUGACAAGAAUUAGAAGGAAAGUCUCAGUUUCAAGCCAGAGGAGAAUUUCGAACUUGAAAUAUAUAUACCUAACAUCAAUCAUGUAACAACCUGAUUUUCAGUGGUAACGAAAACGGCGAUUCGAGGUCACCAAUUCCGUUGAGUAAGAUCGUAAAUUUUACUAUUUAGGAUUUAUGAGUCAAAUGUGGUUUUAGGAAGACUUUUGAAUUAGUAAUUUGUGUUUUAUAAGGAUUUAUUCAGUUAAAUGGUUUAGAAAAUGAGGUAUUGAGACCUCGAUUCUUUAAACCGAGCGUAAAUAUUUUUAUAAAUAUUUACGGAGUGGCAUUAAGGUAGUAUUAAAGUUUCGUUAGAAAAUUUUAAUGUUUUGAUAGCUAAUUAAUUAAAAAUGACUAAGUUAAAAAAAGGUGCAAAACUUGCUAAAGUGAUUAAAUAGCAUAAAUGGUAAAUAAGGGAGGACUAAAAGGACAAAUAUGUCAAGUGGAAUGGCUGAGGCGGCAUAAGUGUGAAAAAAAUAAUAAAAUCAUGUGAUUUAAGGGCAAAAUUGGAAAUAAAUAAAAUUCAAAUAUUAAAUUGAAAAACCUAAAAGCUUCUAGACAUUUUCUUCAUCAAUUUUCUGUCCAAAAACACCAUUUAAGAGCUCUCAAAGUUGGUUUUCAUAUUUUAGCUUCAUGUGAGUUUAAUUCUUGCCUUUUUCUUAUAAUUUUUAUGUUUUUAAGACUUUUACAAUUAGGUCCACUAGCUAUUUCAUCAGUUUUGUAUUUUAUUGAGAAUUUUAAAAGUUACCAUUGAUGAAUACUCGAUAUUUUUGAUGAAAUAACAUGGAUUUAGAGCUUCAAUUUUGUUGUAUGAUGAUUUUAAUAAGUGAUUUUGUUAGAUAUUGAUUUUAGGACUAAAUUGUGAAGAAUUAAAGAAUUAGGGUUUGGUAUUAAAUUUCUACGUAUCAAGGGAUGUAAGAUAGCCUAGAAUAUUUAGAUAAAUUAUCAAUUGAGAAAAAUUAGUUCAUUUGAUAGACUAAUUAGUAAGGGGACUAAAUUGAAAAAGUUGUAAAAAUUAGAGUAAUUGUGUAAUUUCAAAAAUUGAGGGUUAUUAAUUGUGAAGUGAAUUGGAACUGAAGUAUAUGCAACGGAUGAGUUAUUUUAUAUUUUAGAUCAAGAGCCCGUAGAUACUCGUGAAAAAGGGAAAUUAGAAGAAUAGUCUCUGAACUUUUACAAAUUUUACAAUUUAACCCAGGUAAGUUCGUAUGGUUAAAUUUUAUUAAUUAUAUUGAAUUGGUGAAUGAUAUUAUGUAUUUUAUUAUAUUGUUGAAAAAUGGAAUAUUGUUAAAUUAUAAAUUUGAAGUGAAUAUCCGGUUUAAAUGGAAUGCGGUAUUGAGCACAAUCGUUGUGUGGCGAAAGACAACAAAGGAAGAAUUGAUGAAAAAUCACCCAAGUAAACCGAGGUUCAGCAUUUGUUACGAACUUUCGUGUUUACUUUCCUUUUAGCUUUCACUAGCUUCUGUUUAACUCAUAUGAGUUUCCGUUUAGCUUUUUUGAGCUUCUGUUUAACCCUUAUGGGUUUCCAUUCAACUCUUAUGAGCUUUCGUUCAACCCUUAUGGGUUUCUGUUUAGCACUUAUGUGCUUCUGUUCAGCCUUCAGGCUUCUAAAAAUGAUGUACUCAUAUCUGUAAGUCGUUCUCCGAUUUGGUAAGACUUGGUAAGUGACUUAUGUAAUUGAAAUUGAAAAAUUUAUUGUUUAUUAUUGAUAUUGAUUUGAAAUAAGUGAGUUCAUUGAUUAAGGUUGUGAUUGACAAGAAGAUUGCAUGAAUAAUUUUGUAAAUUUGAUUUGUUAUAUUCGGUUCGGUAAGAUUUAUGUUUAACCUAUUAAACUUACUAAACUUCAUUAAGCUUACUUGUGUUGUUUAAUGUCCUUGUAGAUAAAGUGAGGUCGGGAGAUCGAAUCAACACAUCAAGUCACAUUAUCCAGCUCAUCCCGAUAGUCUUUGAAACGUAUUAUAUGGUUUAUAUGGUAUGUAUAGGGUUGGAAUGGUUUUAAGUAAAAUUAGUUUGUGCAAAUGUUAAAAAAAAUCACAUUUUGUUAUAUAUUUCCCAUCAACUUAUAUAUGUAUGGUUUAAUCAUGCUUGAUAUAUGUUUGGAGUGGUUAAAUGAUGGAUAGCUUAUAGGCAUAUAGGUGAAUGUGUAAUAUAUUUUAAUUGGCAUAAUAAAUCAAAUAUGUGAUUUGAUCAAUACGGUAAAUUAAAAAUGUUAGGAUGUAGGUGGUAAUAACAUAUGUUUUAAGCUUGAUAGUUGUAUUGAGGGAUUUGUUAUGGCUUAUGAGAGUGUAAUUUGAAGUGUUUAGGUUGGAAUUUAAAUGGGUGAGAAAAGUGGCCUUGAAAUGGCCAAUUUUCGUCCACACGAGCAGAGACACGGGCGUAUGUCUUAGUCGUGUGUCACACACGGCCAAGCACAUGGGCAUGUGGUCUAGCCAUGUGUCCCCUGCAUUCUUAAAAUUUAGAAAUAGAAUACUCAAGUUUUUGCACACAACCUAGCACAUGGGCGUGUGGCUUGGCCGUGUGACCCCUACACCUUAAUUUCAUAACACACGGCCUACCACACGGGCAUGGACACAGGCUAGGACACGACCGUGUGCCUCACAUCGAAAGCCCACACGGCCUAAGACACGGGCAUGUCUCUUGGCCCUAUGAGCCACAUGGCCUGACCACACGGCGUAUGUCCCCUGCACCUAAGAAAAAAAUUUAAAAUUUUGGGAAAAUUUCUUUGAGUUUUCGAUUUAGUCCCGAUUUAUUUUUGAUGUGUAUUUUGGGCCUCAAGGGCUCAUACAAUGGACAAUAUAAGUGAUUUAUGAUUGGUUAUGAUAGGUAUAUUAAAUGUUAUGAAAUUUUUGUAUUCAAAUUUGAAAAGUCCAGUAAUGCUCCGUAAUACUGUUCCGGCGACGGAUAAGGGUUAGGGGUGUUACAAAUGAACUCUAUUAGAUAUGAUAAAUUUGAGCUUGAAAGUGACAUGGAUGUCGAGUUAAUCCUCAAUAUGUAUUGCUUUACUAAAAAAUCUAUAAUAGAGUUAUAUGUCUAAUUUGCCGAUAUCGAGAAAGGUGGUCCGAGUUUGACAAUAGUUCCAAUUAAUUUGUUACGAUAAUGAAAAGUAAAAAGUCCAACCACACAGCUAUGUGGUGGUUUCAUGAUGUUGUUACAAAGCUCAUAUCAAUGAAUGUCGAAAUCAUCAAUAGGAAGGCAUUCCUCGGUUUCAUCCUUCGAUUUUAACUUUAGUGUACAAUUGAGGUUAGUUGAUAACCCAAACGUAAAGACCCAGGCAUGACAUUCUGUAAGUGCUUUUGAUUUCAACUUCAAAAUACUGAUAUUCUAUUUUGGAAACACUUAUCUGGGUAUGCUAUCAAGUUACACGGAUGGGCAAUCCGUAAGUAAUAUUGAUUUUAACUCAGGGUUGACAAAUACGGAUGAUGUUCUCCUUACAACCUGCACCAGCAAAGGGAUAUCCAACCCUAGACAUGAAACCAUAAUUGGGAUUGAUAACAAAGAGGAAGUUGAAAACAAAAAAGAGAUGAAAUCAAUGAUGACCCAAUCCGGGAGUCCCAAUUGAAUGGUUCAUAUUUGUAUUAUUUUUUGAACCAGAGGCUAAACCUAUUGAACCAGAAGGGAAUGGUUUUGACAGUGAAGGUUUGGACAAUGCUAGAGGAACCCAACCAAAUUUUACAAGUUGGAAUAGAGUUUUCCUCCAAAGAUGAUGUUGGGAUAGUGAACCAGUAUAACAUAAAGCAUGGAGUCCACUUUGAUGUUACAAAAUCGUAAGUUAAAAAAUAUAAGACGAAGUGUGCAAUGCAUGAAAGUAGAUGUCCAUGAAAAAUCAUCUGAAAUGAAAUGAAGGUGAGAGUCUAGACAAUUAAAAAAUAUGACGCUCAACAUACUUGUGUUGUUGCAGGUAUGUCACAAGAUCAUCUGAAAUUGGAUUCUGACCUUAUCUCUAACAUUGUCUUAUCUAUAGUGAAAUAUUUGUGUUGUUACAUGUAUGUCACAAGAUCAUCCAAAAUUGAACUCUUACAUUAUCUCUCGCAUUGUCUUACCUAUGGUGAAAGUGAAUCCUAAGAUUCACGUACCAAUUUUGAUUGUUGAUAUUUGUAAUGAGGACGAUUGUACCAUGUCGUACUACAAGACAUGAGUUGCAAAACAGAAAACAAUGGAAAAAAUGCAUAAUGGGUGAAAUAAAUAAUAUAACUUAUGACAAUGGUUGAAGGUAUUGAAUCAAGACAUCCCAAGUACUUUCAUCGGUCUGCAAAUGGAGUCUAUGUAGCAUGGAAAUUAAUCUGUCAUAAUUUGAUAUGUCAAAUUAGGCUUCCCAUUAUGCUUAAAGAGCUUGUUUUUUUAGCAAUUUAUAUGUUUUUUUCGUGUUUUUACUUAGUUUUCGUUCUUUGCUUGAAUAAGUGAUAUAGUGUGUUUUAUGCCACUUUUGAGACUCAAAAUGAUCAAAUGUGCCAUAGAGAACCUAAUGGUUGAUUGAGCGUUGUAGGGAGUCAUAGGAGGCCCGAACAUGAGUGAAAACAUCACCUAGAAAGGGGUAUCGCGAUAUUGAAGUAUGAAAGUCAUGAUACCCCUAACAGUGCUAAAUUAAAAAGGAUCGAGGCCAUCCACAUUGGUAUCACAAUACCAACUAUGAGUAUCAUGAUACCCAACUCCCAAGGAUUCCUCCAAGUCAAUACCAACGUGGGUAUCGUGAUACCCCUGACGAGAAGAGACAAAAAAUGAUUGUAAGGGCAGACUUUGUCCAACUUCAACACCAAUAAAAAAUACACACUAAAGGGCAGUUUGGGCAUAAAUGUUAGGCCAAGAAAAUGCUAAAAUAGGCUAAAUUUGGCUGAAAGAAAAGAGACACUUCACAUUAGCUAGUUUUUACAUUUUUCUCUUCAUUUUUUAGAGUUUAGUUCUUCUUCUCCAUAACUUAAUAUUUAUUUUCAUGUUCAUUUCUAGUUUUUCUUAGUUCCAUUGCUGGUAGUUAAGUUAGUUUUUAUUAUAGCUAGGAUUUAUUUACUCAUUUAGCACUUCAAACUUCAUUGUAUUUUCACUUUAAUCCUAGUUUAAUGUCAUUUAGUUUUCCUCAAAUUUCUUUGUUAAAAAUCAUUCCUUUAGUACUUUCAGUCACUUAUCUUGCCGCCAUUGUUGUCUUCUCCAAGCUUUUGCAAGAAAGCUUGGGUUUUUAUUUAUUUGCUUUUGGUUUAAGCUAAUGUUAGUUUUGUUUGAUUCUUUGUUGUUAAUAGGUUUAAAUAUAAGCAUGAGUAGUUAAACCCUAAGUGAUUGGUUAAUAAAAAUGAUGGAUAACUGAUUUUUCUAUUUGAAACGAUCCCACACUCGGCAGACGUGAACUUGAGGAUAGUAGAGAAGACUACUCGGUCGAAGUAUUAUACUAGACGAAUCGAAAAGGUACAAUUUUGAUUAAGUGUUUAUUACUUUAGAUAUCACAACUAAGAUCUUAUUUUGGAAAAUUUUUAAAACUCUGGUUUUCCCUAAAUUUAUUUUUUGUUGCGUUUUCCAAACUCGUUUUUUCCAACAUUGUGAUAUCCAAGUGACAAGGAAACAUCCUAUUUCAAUACUGACGACAAUAUCGCGAUAUCCAACCCUAGGUAUUGCAAUAUCAUUGUCGUAAGGGAACAAAAAAUGAUGCCAUGGGUAAUUUUUGUCCAACUGAAACACCAAUCAAAGAAGGCCCGUUCAAAGGCAUUUUGGUCAACAAAGUGGAUCAAAAUUUGUUGCUAAAUCAACCAAAAUUGGCUGAAGAGAGUGAGAGGCUACACUAGUUUAGUUUUUUGCUUUAGUUUUCUCUUAGAUUUUCUUCCCCAUUUUCUAGGGUUUCUUCUUAUUAUCUUCUUCCUUAGUUGUAGUUAUUAUUUUUCCUACAAUUUCUUGUUGUUCUUAGUGUUAGUUAAGUUAGCUAGUAUUGUAGCUAGGGUUUAUUUGCACUUUCAGCCCAUUUACUUCACUUGUAUUGACACUUUCAUCUUUGUUUAAUGCAUUUUCAGUUUCUUUAUUUUACUAUUAGAUGUUCAUCUUUGUUUUGCUCUAAAGUUUUCUUCAUUAAAAGUCCCAACUUUAUCAGUUUUCUUAAGCUUUCCUUUUAUGGUUGUCAUGGUUGUUAUUUUUAUGUUUGUUAGUUUAGUUUUCAACAUGAGUAACUAAACUCCUAAAGAGGUUGGUUGAUGAAGAUGUGGUUAAGCUGAUUUUAGGUUAAGGGACUAAAUUGUAACAAAUUAGACUAAAUUGAAUGAACAUAAAAACUUAGGAUUGAUGACCCUAAGGGAAGAUUGCAAGUGAGACCGAUCAGUAAUCCUGUUGGGCACUAAUUCUUUAGUUCCGGGUUAGCCGGCAAGAUCAAAAGAUAAACUGAACUAAUUCGUAUAAUUUGGUAAAGUUGAGAUCGAAACGUAAAACGGAACCACUUUAGGAGUUUAUGCAAUUUAGGACUUAAUUAAAUGAUUAGUGAACCACAUCGAAGCCAUCCAACCACCUCUUGUUAUUUAUUUGUGAAUUUCAUAACUUUACAUCCUUUACAAUUUAGUCCUUUAGGUUGUUAACAGAUAAUUGAUCUGUCGUAAUUUGGUGUAGCAGAUUAAACUAAUUUUCGUACUUUAGGAGCUUGAAAACAAGUAUUAUCAUUAGGUUUUAAUUAUGUUUUAGUAAAUUUAAUUAAAUUCAAUAAAAUAUGCAAAUUGAGUCUUUUAUUGACCUUAUAGGCUGAAUGAGGCCUAAGGGUGACCUAAUGAACUUCAUGAGUGUACAGGAGACCAUUAGAAGGUAUGUUGAACCGAUACUAGCUGCUAUGUCACAACACAGAGGUUCGGUGUCACAGUACAGGAAGCAGAAUGAAGGAAUUUCGAGACUGCCUUCGAUGUCGCGACAUAGCCUGAGUGUGUCAUGACAUAUCCCUAAAGACGUCUUGAAGAAGAGUAUACUGACUUCUACGUCGCAACACAAAUACUGAUGUGCCGCGACAUUGACUCUGGACAAGAAUUAAUACAAGUUAGAGGACCUUUUGGUCUGCACAAUCAAAUUUAAAGUUCGGGAAUGUCAACUAACCAGGGUUAAGGACGACGGUUACCUCAAAUCUAUAAAUAAGCUCAUUUGCCACAUGUUAUGGGUAUCAAUUACUUAGCUUAGAAUCUCUCUUUAAAUUCCAGUUUAGCUUUUCUCUUUUCUUAGGUUUUAGAUUUAUUUUCUGUUUGUUCUUUGUUUUAUUUCAAGAGAUCUGAUUUGAGGAUACAAUCAACUCUUGUGGAUUCACUUUUAUUGACAAUACAAAUCAGUCUUUUUCUUAAACUCUAUACUUUUGGUUCACUUAUCAUGUUUACAGUUUAUAUCGACUCUAUACUGUUUAUGAAAACUAUAAGGAACUAAUCCCUCUAUGGGGAAUUAGUGAGUGGAGGUAUGAUAUAUUAACUAUUUUAUAGGGUUACUCAACGAAUCAGCUGUUUGGGAAAGAAAGAACCUAAACCCUAAGCUUGGCGACCUUAGGAAGUCAUCAAUGUAGGAAUUAACCCAAAAUUGGUCGGAAGAUAAAUAGUCCUUACUGACUCGUUCUAGUGGACGUAUCGAAAGGUCCUACUAGGAUAUCGACUAGUUGAUUGACAAGAAACCCAAAAGGACAGUUGAUGAAGAUUACAGAAGAGCUAAUCACCCAUAAUCAGAUCUGAUUAAUUCCACUAUUCAAUUUGUUGAUAUUUAUUUGCUAUAGUUUAUUAUCAUAAAAAUCCCAAAAAUCUCUGUACAACCAAAAUUUGCCCAGGCCCAAUGUCAAACAAAUAAAACCUAAACCAAAUAAAUAAAAUCAAAGCCCAAUUCAAACCAGCCCACUAUUCAAUCAGACCAAUCCAACAAAAACCUUAGUAGCCCACAACCCAAUACAACAUAAACAUUUAGCAGAAAAGAAGAAAAGAAAACCCUAGCUUCCAGCCAAAUCAAGGUGCCGCACGCCUCACCAGCCUCCUCGCUACCACCGCCACCGGCGCCAAUCGUUGGCCCUCCACGCGUGUCAGACACCUGCAAAGAGCAAUAAACACGCAAAAGAAGAAGACAACAACAACAAUCCAAGGCACAAAACAACAAAAUAAAAGUUUAGGGACUUUAAAAUUGGUUAUAUAAACUGAAUACAGGCACUGUAAUAGCUCCUCUCGGUUUUUUUACGAACAUCUAAAUAAAAAACAAGAAAAGCAGAGAAAUUUCGAAAGGAAAAGCUUUAUUUCGGUUCUUGUUUCAAUUUUAUUGUUUUUAUCUCUUUUUAUUUUUUUAUCUCUUUUAUUUUCGUUUUUUGUACUAAAAUAAAAAAGGAAAAGAGAGAAGCGUACCUGAAACGUGCCACGGCCACGUCGUUGGGGGGUCUUCCCUUAGUCGCCGAAAUUGGCCGUUAACAGCGAGGCCGGAAGUCGGGGGGUCUCUGGCUCGUUCGGGUACUUUCGCUUGACUUUUGAAGAUUUUGGCUUCAAAACGGGCAUGGGGAGGUUGAUUGGAUCAAAAUGGCUUCUUUUCUGGGACUCCGACCGCCGUAUACGGCGGCCACCGCCGUCGCCGGCCGACGGCCAUGACGGACGAACGUUGGCCCCAUGGCCGGAUCUUGGGCAAUGCCCAGAGAGAAAAUAAAGAGAAAGAUUUUAUUUUUUAAAAAAAGAGAAGCAAAUAGCCUUUUUUUUUUAAAAAAAAAACUCUGCCUUUAUAGCACACCAAAACGGCGUCGUUUUGGGUUUUAUUUCCAAUCACCAAAACGGCGCCGUUUCAACAAUAACCCAGAAUCUGACCCGAUGACCCGACCCACGGGGCUAGGAUCCGCGUGUUUUCUAGCGCAUGGGUUAUUUGCGCAUUAGGUCCUUUUGCAUUUUCGGCGUAUUGCAAUUUGGUCUCUUUUGCUUUCUUUUCUUUUAUUUUAAUUUUUCCACAUAAUUUUAUUUCUGUUUCAUUUUAAUCCCAUGCGAAACUGCGCGUUUAGAUGCUUUGGGAUAAUUUCCCUUUUGGUCCCCUUUUUUCAUUUGUGCAUUUAUUUUAGCCCUUUAUCUUUGUUUUACUAUUUUUAUAAUUUUUAAUUUAUACCCCGAAUUUUAAAUUCCAUUUCAAUUUCAUCAUCAGUCCUUUUAAUUUAUUUAUUUAUUAAAAAAUGCUCUUUCAUCAUUAUUUAUUUUAAGUUUUUAUAUUUACUAUUUAUUUGAAACUGUUUUACAUAUGAUUUAUUUAAAUUUCUUUUAUAUAUUGUUUAUUGUAAGCUUAUGUAUAUAUUUUUCAAAUUGUUAUAUAUAUAUAUAUAUAUAUAUAUAUAUAUAUUUAUUUAUAUAUAUAUUAAAAAAAAUUGUUUUCUAUGUUUAUAUAUAUUUCUAUUUUAAUUAGCUUCAUUGUUAUUUUAUUUUUUUAUAUAUUCUGUUAUUUCGGAUCAUUUAUUAUUUAUUUUUAAUUGUCUCUAUAAAUUAUUUAUUUUAAGUUAUUAUUUUCUUUAAUUGAUUUAUAUAUUAUUUUGUCUCGUUUACUUUGCUUAUUAAUAUUUGUAUUUGAUGUGUUGUGUAAUUAUUACCAUCAUGUGUAUUAUUUCGUUUACUCGUAUUUACAUGCUAUAGUGAUUCAUUCGUUUAAUAUUUUGGUCGUAAACAAUUUCUCCAUGUUGUAUAUUAUCAUUCCAUCGAUAUAAUCCUUCAUCUGCAUAUUGUUUUUAACAUUACAUCAAUUUUUACCCAAAUUCGUAAAAAAGGAAAAUUUUGGAAAUAAAGGCAAUACUCGAUACUUGGGAUCUUCGAGAGAAUUGGGCCCUAACAUGCUGGGUUCUAAUUUUUUUCGUUGAAUCUAAAUAAUCGAGAAUGCUCUUUAAUAAAAAACAUAAAUAAAAGCUCAUUAUCGGGAUUUCAAUACGUUGUGCAUUGGAUAUGACACGUUGUUUUCUCGAUACGAGGAUUUUUCGAAAAUGAAGGCCAUAUUCCGUAUUUAGAAAAUUUGAGAAAAUCGUGCCCUAACUUACUGAGCUUCGAUUUUUCUCGCGUUGAUCCUAAAUAACCAAAUAUCCUUUAAAAAUUAAAAUAAAUGAGGUUUAAACAAAAAAUAAAGGCAAGCUUACUCUCGAAAAUAAGAUGUGUUGUGUCCUAACUUACUGGACGUGACAUCUUGUUACUUCGAGAUAAGGAGGCAUUUUCCAUUUUGAUUUAUUCGAGUAAUUUUAAAGUAACGAAAUAUAAAGAGGGAUCAUAUUUUUAAAUUCUUUUCGAGUUUUUAAUUUUCGACACCAAGACAUUAAAUAAUAGACUAGGUACCAAUUUUGGGCGUAUUGAGGGUGCUAACCCUUCCUCGUGCGUAAUCGACUCCCGAACCUAUUUUUCUGAAUUUCGUGGACCAAAAUCGUUAUUUUAAUAAAAUCUAAAUCGUUUUUAAAAACAACCGUUUUACGAGGUGACCCAAUCACACCUCAUCAAAAAAAAGAUUGGUGGCGACUCCCAUUUUUAUUUUUAUUUUUUUAAAUCCAGUCGACCCAAUUUUAUCAAAAAAUGGUGUCAACAAUCUCUUUUAUUUAUAUUUGCGUAAUGUAACCUAUUUCGAGUACUAAUUAUAUAUUUUGGUGUCUAGGUUAAAAUUAAUCUAGCACUAGCCUCCCUUGGGUACGAACACAACUAGACCCGUAUACUUGUGGAUACAACUUUAUUUAUAUAUCUUUAGUAGUUUACCCUAAAAUUUAAAAUAAUAUAAAAUUAUUUUUACAUUAAUAUUUAUAUUUUUUAUAGUUAAUUUAAAGAAAAUAUUUUUUUACCAUAUAGAAAUUAAAUUGAAUCAGACCCACCCCGUAAAAUCUAGUUAGGUGAAUCACACAUUUUGCUCUUGCAUUACCAACAAAAUUAUAAGAGAUUUUUUACAAACAAGAUAAAUCCCUUUUAGAAUCACAGCAAAUCAACAAUAGUGGCAAAAAGGAAAAAUAAAAUAAUAACAAAGGUUUGUAAAACACCAUUUAGCACUCCACGCCACAUUGUUUAAGAACUGGACCUGUUUGUUUGGGCAAGAAGGGAUCGAUCCGUACCCAAACAAGUGAGAAAAUCGAUGCCAAAAGUACGGACCAAAGCACAACAAUGGUGGGCGUCCUGUUUUGUCUCCCCAUCAAACCUUUGAGGAAUGGGUAAAGAUGAAGAAUGACCCAGAAUGCGAAGAACAGUUUGCCAAACAAUGGACCCCAUGAACCAUAGCCGUUGUUGAUUGCGUCUGAAACUCCGGCCACAACUCCGACCAUGUUCAGUAUUAUCAGAGUUGUGGGAGGGAUUAAGAGAGUUGUCCAUUUGAAGAGAUAAAGUUCACCGAAUUCUGUGUCCUCUGCUGCUUUUGCUGUUACGGUGAAGUUGGUGUCUACUCCAGCUAGGACUUUGAGGAGGCCUUGGAAGACGGCGAAAAGAUGGGCGGAGACACCUCCGAUCACCCAGAAUUGUUCAUUGCGCCACCAGUCUUGGAUGCUAACCCCGCUCCAUCGAAGUUCAAGCACUCCAGUUGCAAUGAUGGAGAGGAAAAGUGCUAAGAACCACACACUUGUAAGGUUGCUUAGCUGCAAGAAAACCACUACUUGUCAAGCUUACAGAAUCAAGCAAAAAAAAACCCGCCCCAUUGCAUUGCCAUCCUUAGCCAAAUUCGUAAAAUAAUGACAGUAAAUACUUACAGUUGGGAUGAUGAAUUUGCCAGUGAGGAGACAAACAGCUGGAAUAGUACAAUAGGCGAGUAAAGGGAUCGAGGUGAAAGGGUAAACAAUGGUGUUGAUAUAAGCAAGCCUCUCGAGCCAUUUCAGUUUUCCGCCAUAACCAUACCAAAGUGGACAGUGACGACUAAGGAAAAUUUCUACAGAACCAAGUGCCCAUCUCAAAACUUGGUGCAACCGAUCCGAGAGAUUGAUUGGAGCGGACCCUUUGAAUGCCGGUCUUUUCGGUACACAAUAAACCGAUUUCCACCCUCUACAAUGCAUCUUGAAACCUGUUAAAAUAUCUUCCGUCACCGACCCAUAAAUCCAUCCGAUCUGCAAUGCCAAUAAUACAGGCUCGUUAAUGCGUAAAUUGACUCCUGACCUAUAUGAAAUGUAUUGAAACAUAACAGUUGCAAAUGGCAUUAGUCCAUUGAAGUAAUCCGUUGAAAUAUAUAAUAUUACUCGCCUCUUUGCCCCACUCAGUUUUUUCUUCAUAACCACAGCUAAUUACGUGAAUGGCUUCUUUAAUCAGUGAUGUGGAAUUAGUUCCUUCAGGAAGGCCACCAUUUUCCAUCAAAGUUGAGGCAAUGAAAACCGGUGAUUGCCCGAAUCGUUUCUCGAAAUUCUUCUGCGACAUUAACGACGAUUUCUCCAAUUCUUCAAAUCCUUCAAGCCCUUCUUCGAUUUCUUCGAGAUCAAAGACUGGCGCAGACCCUUUCUUCACAUAGUUUUUGCCCAUCAUCUUCUUCUUCUUUUUUCCGUAUAAAAGACCUCCGAGUAAGCCCUUCUUUUCACCUUUCUUCUUUGAUUUCUUCCUAGAACCUCUGCAACAACAGCAACACCAAGAAGGCCAGCAAUCACAUGUCAUCUUCUGUCGUUUCUCAGAGACUGGUGGAUCGUAGCCAUACAAUGCCUGCCUGUUGAAAACACACCCUGUGCCUACAUAUACAGGGCCUUGAAGUCCAUCUAAUCCCAACAUGUUGAUCUAUAUAAAUCGAAAAUGAUGUUUUAGGCACUAAUUUUUUUUAAACCAAAAUUUUAAAAAAUGAUGAAUGAAAGUGAGUCAUACAUCAAAGAAGACGACGUUUCGAUUAGCAUAUCGAUCAUGACGAUCAAUACCAUCAAAUCUCUGUGGAAAUUGAACAUAACAAAGCUUCUUUCCAAACUGAGGAUCCAUUAAAAAGCACAUCGCUUCCCUCAUGGCCUUACUAUUGUUGAUGUAAUGAUCACAAUCCAGAUUCAAUAUGAAGGGUGCAUUAGUAAGCACUGCAGAAACUCGAACCUGCCGAUGGCAUACAUGACCCAAACAAGAUCAACAAUGAAUAUGAUAAAAUGGUAAACAAUUACGAUUCAUAUUCAGUAGUUUCACUUUUCAAAAACCAAACGAAAAUUAGACCAGAAAAUGAGUAAAUCACCAGAGCAUUCUCAGCACCGGCUUUCUUAUGGUGCUGAUAACCAGGUCGUUUCUCACGAGAAACAUAGACAAGUCGAGGCAGCUCUUUGCCAUCCACAUCAAGUGCACCGGCACUUCCUAGAUAGACCUGUGAAAAUAAAGAAUUACGUGGUUCAGUUCGGAUGUCUAUGGGAAAAGAUCCAAAAGGUUUACAUUGUAGAUAUUAUGAAUCCUAUCGUAAUCUCUAUAUUACCUGAAUCAUUCCAGGAUGAUCACGAGUGUUAUUUCCGGGCCAUGGGGUGCCAUCUUGCAUCACCCAUCCUUCUUCUGGUUUCUUCUGAGCUUUUGCUACUAAUGCAUUGAUCCUUACUUUAAAUUCUUCAUAUUCCCUCUACAGUAACAUAAGAAAUAUAUAUUAAACCCUUGUUAACUUGUGAACAAGAACUAUGAAGUUACAAGUUACUCGAGCUCGAUGACAAAAUUCGAAUUCUUUUAUCAAGUUGAGCUCAAGCUCAAGCAGCUCAAGCUAUCAAAUAAGUCAAAUUUGAAUUCAAUAUUCUAAUGCUUGGCUCUAGCAACUAGCAAGCUUCUAAUUAGUAUUAAAACUGAACUCAGGCUCAAACACAAAUAAUCGAAUUUAAAGUUGAGCAUAAGAAUAAGCUCAAAUUUCACUAGGUGAACGAGUCUAAUCAAGUGAACUCGAACGGGUCCAACCAUUCAAUUUAUAGCUCGAAUUUAGCUCAAACUUUAAAAUUAAAACUUGAUAUAAUUAAGCCUAAUCGAUCAAUUCGAUCUUUUUUAUACUUUACCAAACUCAAAUCUAAUUUCAAUUCGAGACGUAAGCUCUAACUCCUUGAGUUCGAUUCAACUGUACUCGAGCACACACAGAAACACAGCGAAUAGGCAACUUACUUUCAUGGCUCUCCGUUCUUUAACAAAGCUAGGAUGGACCUUGUCCUUCAAAUAAUCAAUCUUCUCAUUGAAAUAAAACUCCGGCGCCCUGGGCUCAACAUUAUGCUUCUUACAAAACGGAACCCAUCUCCUCGCGAACUCAGCCGUUUCAGACAACGAAUCGAAAAGAAGCAUGGAAGCACCAUCGUCCGACACAUAACAACACACUUUCUCGACCGGGUAAUCGACGGCCAAGAUCGAUAGAACCGUGUUGGCCGUUAUGAUGGGGGGUUCCUUGAGAGGGUCGACGGUACUGACGAAGACGUCGACGGCGCCAAGUUGAUUGGGCUCUCCUUCACGCUCGAACCUCAAGGAGAGGCGAUCGAGGUAAGUUUCGCGAGUAAUAGGGAACCAUUUGGGGAACUGAUCGAGAAUCCAGGAGAAGGCGAACCAAACUUCGCAGAUGACAGAGAUUAGCCAUAACGGGUAAGCGUCGUAGGCGGGUGUUAGAAUACGGAACCGGAGGAAAAAUGCGAGGAUGAAGAAUCGGAGAACGAUGACUAUCCGGUAAGGGCUUAUCAGACUUGACGAAAUUGGCACUUUUCGCCAUAGAGGUUGGCGAGCUUCAGCCAAGCUGCAAAAAGUGAUUAUAUUACCAUAAUUAUUCGAAAUAAAUUAUCUUUGUCUAAUAUUUUAGUAAGGUUGAGUUUUUAUAAUUAGCAAUUUAAAAAAUUUUAAAAUUAAGAGAUUAAAUUUUUAAAAAUAAAAAUAAAGAGGAAUUUUUUAAAAAAUUAAAUAUGCUUUUUUUAUUUUUAAAAAUAAAAUAUUGACUUACAGAUAAUCAUCUUCUUCAGGAGGAUCAUUUCCGCCAUUAUCGUUGCUUACCAAACCUCUUUUUUCUUGCCUGACUUUCCAUUUCUCAACUCUUUCUUUCCAUUCUUCGCUUCCGUAAAUCUCUUUAUCCCCUUCCAAAUCCUUCCCCGCCGCUGCCCACAUCAAUUUAAACACUCAUACUUCGCAAUCUUAUUCAAAUCCAAUUUAAAAAUUAUUCAAAUCGAGAUUGCUUGAAUUGCGCUACUUACUGCUUCCGGCAACUGAGAAAGCUUGACCAUUGGGAUGCCAUUGAUGAUUAUUAUUAUUAUACUCCUCAUUUUCCUGCAAAUAUUAACCAUUGUUUUUUUUUUUUAGAAAACUAUCUGAUCGAUCGUAUUGUUCUUUUUUCACCUUAAUUUUUUUUUUUCAAAUACGUACAUGUUGUGGAUGCGAGUCAUCCUUGCGGUUCUUAAUCUGAAAUUCAUCAUCAAAAUCAUCUUGAUCUGAAUCAUCUUCUUCAUCUCCUGAAAUUCUUGGACUACCUGCGGAACAACAAAACACGAAGCAAUAUUAUAUAUAUGUACGUAAGUACAUGUGAGAAGGGUUAAAACAAAUUAGGGCUAAUUGCACUAUAGUCCUCUGACUAUUUCCUAGAUUCUACAUUGGUCUGUGAAUUUUAAAAUGUCUUAAUUGAAUCUUCAAAAUAUAUCAUUUUAUCAACCUAACUUACACAUCAACUUAAAUUUGAGGUGGAUCAUAUUUAAAACACGUGUAUCAAAUUGUAAACAUGUAUACACUUACCGUAUAGACAACUUAGAUCUAGCAUGUAAUGUUUUAAAUCAAAUCACUAGUUUUCGGUUCAAUCAAUUCGACUAUUGAUAUAUAAAUAAUUAAUUAAAAAAUUAAAAAAAUAUAUUUAAGAAAUUAUAAAUUAUUUCAAUUGCUGAUUUUUUAUCUCGAUUUUUAGGUUUUUUACCAGUUCCGAGUGACUCACUCAAAGGCCAGUUCAAUCCCUUUGUUCGAGAAGGAAUAACUCUCUUAAAUUUUAUUGCCUUGCCUCUUUCUUUUUUUUUUCUUUUUUUUAACAAGUAAGAUCUAAGUUAUUUAUGUAAUAGAUAUACACUUAUUUACAAUUUAAUUCAUGUAGAUCCAAACUUGCAUCUAAUAUCUAAAUUAAUGGUUAAGUUAACUAAAGGACCUAAAAUUAAAAUAAUCCAAAAAGUUUAGAAAUCAACAAUAAUUUGGAGACGUCUAUGAAUUAAAAUAUAAAACCUUUGUGACGCUUAUAGCGAGUAUUGCACUGAGGACAGCACUGGUUUCCUUCACUCCUUUCAUAUUCAUAACAAGGGCGGCAAACCGGGAAAGCACAGACAUGACAAGCCACGAACGGUUGUCCGUUUUCCUUUUGCCCGAUCUUAUCCCCACACACUCUGCAUAUGUUCGUUGAUGAUUGAUGUGUCGAUGAUCCCCGAUUCUGCCAUCAUCAUAAUCAACAAACACAUAAUUCCACACACUAAUAAUUAUAAAACAGAGAAAGAAGAAGAAGAGAAUACCUCGUCGACAGCAAGUGAACCAAAGCCAGCAGCCAUGGUGGUUGAAGCCAUGGCAAAACCAAAAGAACGAAAGAGAAAGAGAAGGUGAAGAUUGAAGGGAGAGAAAGGGAGAAGAAGGGUAUUAUAAGGUGGCAGUGUGUACCAAACUGUAAGUUGGGAAGUCGUAGGUUUGAGUCUAAGAGACGUUACCGGUGAGAGCGGUAGGGUGUUUUUUUCUUUUUUCUUUUGUUGAAUAGCUAGCUUCGAUUCAAAGGGAGGGACAUCGUCUCACCUCGCCAUGCCUAACAACGAUUUUUAAAAUUUGGGAUAAAGCAAUAUUUACUCCCUGACAUUGUUAAUAGUUUUCAAUUUGAUCCCUAAACUUUUUCUUGGUCCACAUUUUUUUUCGAUUUGAUCCCUGAACCUGGAUUUCAUUAAAGUAUGAUGGUGCGAUCUUCACCUAUUUUUUUUUGAAUUACAUAAAUUAAAAAUACGAAAAAAAUUAAAAGAUGACAUGAUACAAUCUUAAAGCGCGACUAAAAAUUAACCAUGUUUAGAGAGUAAUUUUUACUUUAUCCUUUUAAAUUUCGAUGGUUGAAUUGUGAUUCUAGUCUCACUAUUUAAAAAUAUAUAUAUAAUAUGUUAGUUCAAAUAGAUAAUAUCAUUAAUUACUGUAUUAAUAUGGAUUUUUUUUAAAAAAACACACAUUCUCGUGGACUUUUUUAUGAUGGAAGUUGUGUUUUUGAAAAAAAAAUCCACAUAAUUACAAUUUUAAUGAAAAUAGUUAAUGAUGUUAUUUAUUUGGACUAACUACUAAGAAUAUAAAAAUUAAAAGACUAAAUUAUAAUAAAUUAAAAUAUAUAGAUUAAAUCUCAAUUUUGAAUAAGGACCAAAAUCAUAAUUUAACCAAAAUUUUAUAUUUUAUAUAUAUAUAUAUAUAUAUAUAUAUAUAUAUAUAUAUAUAUAUUANNNNNNNNNNNNNNNNNNNNNNNNNNNNNNNNNNNNNNNNNNNNNNNNNNNNNNNNNNNNNNNNNNNNNNNNNNNNNNNNNNNNNNNNNNNNNNNNNNNNGUUAUCGUACCGAAAGAAGCAUUUUACAACUUUUCUAUAACUUUUAUUGAUUUUUAUUUUUUUAUCAUUUUAUGUCACAUGUCACUUUAUGUUGCGACACGUGAUGGUUUUAAUUGAAAAAAAUUGGGGGUCGUUAACUUUAAUAGUUAACUGUUAAAGGGCAUUUUUAUGCAUUUUAUAAUCUUUUUUUAUGAUUUUUAUAAAAUUUUAUAAUUUUUUUCUAAUAUUUAAUAAAAAAUAAAUAGUUUUAUUUUUUUAAUAUUUAAAAAAUAUUUUUUUAUUUUUAUUUUUUUGGCACAUGUCACAUCAUAGUUGUGAAACGUGGAGACUUUAAUUGAAAAAAAUUAGGGGUGAUUAGCUUUAAGGUCAAAUGACCUUUUGAUUUAUUUUGGAAAUUGAGUGCAAAAAAAAAAGUAGGGGCUUAAUUAUUUUUUUUUGAAAAGUUUGAGAGCAUUUUUGAUAUAUUUUGGUAGUUCAAAUACUUAAAUGAAUGAAAAAAAAACAGGGGCUUAAUUGUUUUAUUUUUUUGAAAAAGUUUGAGAGCCUUUUUUAUGUAUUUUGAAAGUUCAAGUACCCAAUUGAGUAAAAAAAAGCAGCAACUUAAUUGUCUUUUCUUUUUUUUGAAAUGAUGCAAAAUGUUUAAGUAAUUAGUAUAACACGUUUAAUAGAUACGGGCGAAUUUUAUAAUUAGAAUUAUUUAUAUUGUAUUUAUAUUUAUACAAUUUAUCAAAAAAAAACACAAAUUAUUCUCUUUUUUAUUAAACCAAUACGUCCCUUUCCCAUUCUUAAAAUUCCAAAAAUUUAGCUGCCUUUAUAUGAAUUUUGGGUUGGAAUGUAUUGUGGUAAUGUAUAGCACAUAAGGUUUGGUGGAUGUGUUGUCAUUUUUCUUACAAGGCAGAGCUAGUUAUUCAGUCAUAAUUAAAGCAAAACAUUAGGUCAAAUAUCCUAUUCCUACUUAAAUUUGAAAGAGAUGAUACCAUCCCUUCCUGUUAAAGAUUUAGCCUUGGUCGCAAUAUCUCAAGAUUUUGGUUUCGUCUUUCAUGGACACACUUUGUAAUCGCUUAGUUAAGUUAUAUUACCGCAAUAUUUUCUCUUGGUCAUUCUACAUUUUGUUACAUAAUCAUCUCUGUAUGAUACGUGAUAAGUUGUUGAGUAGUUCAUAAAUUACUCUUCAUUAGGAGCAGUUCGUAUACAAUCCUCCGCAAAGAACAGUUCGUGUCAACCCUUUGUGUGGUAUGAUUCGCAAGCGACCUUCCACAAUCCUAUGCAUCUUUGUGAGAACCACCAAGGCAUAAUCACCUCAUAUGGCCCUAAAGGGGAGUGUCAAAGCAGAACCAUAUAGUACACUAUAUGUUGACAGCUAACUUGCACAACUAUGCAAAUACAAGCUUGACUGCACGAGUGACCAAAGAUCUACUCUCUCCCUUAGCAAACUCUUUUUCUUCUUCUCCCCUUCCUUCUCCUACUUCUCUCUAUUCUCGCUACCGACUCUCCACUUGUCAUAGGUGAACCGACACUUCCCUCCAUCAUCCUCUCUUCUCUGUUGGUAACCUGUGUCAACAAAUUUUAAUAGGAAGAAGAAAAAAAUCAUGUUAAAUCCGUUUCAAUUUCAAAUUUAAGCAAAUUGAUCCUUUAAAAAAUAUCUAUCAAUAAUAAAAGUUAAUUUAAUCUUUGUCAAGUAUAAUAUACAAUAAAAAAAUAUUCAAAAGGGUCAAGCUUGAAAUUGAGAUUAUGAUUAAGCAAGUAGAAAAACCAUCCUACUCUAUCUCUACCAACAACAAAACCAAACUAGCAUUUUUAAAUUGCCAUCGGAAUUUUUCAUCAUUCCGACGUCUUUAAUCUCUCGAAUCUUUGUUAAUUUAAACCAGAGAUGGAUCCUCAUUAGGAUAGGGCUUAAGGGGCUUUUGCCUUCCAAAAUUUUUGAAAAUUUUAAUUAUGCCUCCUAAAGUUUUUAAAAAUUAUUAUUAAACGUUUGAAUUUUUUAAAAACUUCAAAUAGACUCUUCACUUUCUUUGCUUGUCUUUUUUUUUUUUAAUUUCCAUAAAUCUCUAAAAUUUUGGAACUUUUAAUUAGACCUACCAAAAUUUUGGAAAUUUUCACUAAAAUUCUCAAUAUAUAUAUAUUGAGUUGCGUUGUCGUUAGAGUUUUAUCCUCUUCUUGUAAUUCAUCAAUACAUAUAUAUUUAAAAUUUUACCUAAGUCUGUUAAAUCUCAUCCAUUUACUUUAAUAUUUCAAAAAGGUAUUUAUAUUAUUUAAAUUUAAUAUUUAAUAAUUUUUAUAUUUUUAUUUAUUAUUAUUUUUAAAUAAUCAUCUUAAUAUUUUUUAAAUAUUUACAUUAUACUAUUAUAUAUUACUAUAAAUUUAAAACCCAUGAAUCAUUUUUUAAAGGAUGUUUUAAAAAAUUAAAUUAAAUUCAUCUCUAAUUUUAAAUAUAUGAAAAAGACGUAUUUAUAUGGGCAGUGAAAGAUGGAGAGAGAGGAUAAUUUUAUUUCAAGUAUCUCAGUUUUAUUUUUUCAAUUUAAUCCAUAAUUUUAAGUUUUAAUUUAUUCAAUUUAAUCCCUCACACCAUGUUAUAAUUGAGUCUUACAUAUUUUUUAUUUGUUCAUUUCAUGGAUGCAGUUAUGGGUUUAUGCAAUUUGGUCAUGAAUAUGGUUUUUACCCAUGUCCUUAAAUUCGGUCAAUAAUUAGUUUUAAUUAUUGUUUCAUUUAUUAGUUUUAAUUCUUUUUCAAUAAUCAGUUUGUACUUUUUCUUCUAUGGUCACUCAGAAAAAUUAUAAAAAAAUCUAUAUUUAAUAUAUUUUAAUUGAAUACAUUAUAACCAAUUUAUGCAUCGCACGAGUGAAAAAAAUAAUUAUGUAUAUCACAUUGGUAUAAUAAAAAUUACAACAUAAUAUCAAUUUUUUUUGGUAGAAAAAAAUAGCAUAAAACGAUUACGAAAAAACAUACAUUCUAGGAAUUAUAAAAGCUUAUUUUAUCAGCUAAUAGAAGCCUUUGGAUCGAAAUUGAAAAUUCUUCAAAAACGACUAAACUUAAAGAACCAGAUACCUCAAGCCUUAUCAUAUGACCAACAACUACAUUUUAAGAUCUAACACACAUGAUCAACUUUUUAUUACAAAUAUUAAAGCGAAUGUUGAAUAAUUAUUUGUUAGGUAAUUAUAAAAUUAUUAGAUGGAUGCAAAUAAUGAUGAUUAAUGUAACAUAUUAUUACUUUUAAUAGAAUAAUGGAUAUAUAAUUUAAUUUAUAUGUACAAUAACUUAUAUAUUAAAAAUAAAUCCAAUCCAAAAUCGUAAAUAAAUAAUUAAUUAAAUGGAUGGAGGGGUCUAGAGAAUGUAAGUGGAUUGAAGAAUCUAACAGACAUAUUUUUUACACCAAAAGUCAUUAAAUUAUUAAUAAAUUUAUAUUUUGGUUAUUCAACUUUAAAAAUUAUAAAAAUAUCAUUGAACUAAUUAAAAUUUUUUAUUUAAGUCAUUGCAUUGCUAAGUUAUUCGAAAAAAAACUGUCUAAUGAGCUUUAAGCGAUAACUCGACAAUCAGUAUAGUGAAUUAGUACUCAUCAAAGAGUAGAGAUCGGAAAAAAAAAAGUUGUUUGGAUUUUAAUUUACAGAUUCGUACUGUUCAAAGUUGUAUCAUAAAAAAAAUUGAACCAUAGGAAAGAAUGAGAAAGAAAAUUUCUAAGUUAGUGCAAGUGAUGUGGAAAAAUAAUGUCAUUCAAUAAUCAUUUUAAUAGUCCGGUAAAUUAAACGAAAGCUUUGAACCCCAUGUUAUCGUUGAUGGUCAAGGGUGUUCACCGCCCUAGAUGUGGCUUAAGUUCGAGUUACGCUAAUCGUGUUUAUUGUUCAGGCUUUACCCUACUAUUGUAAUUCACAAAAAAAAAAACUUUAAUAGAGACUUUCUUAUAAUUUAGUGAUUAUUUUGUAAUCAAAAUAUAACAUAAUUUUACUAAUAAUUUAAUGUGCAAUUUAUCCUUUUUUAUGUUUUGUGUAGAACAAAAAGCAUUUUGAUCCAUUUUUUCAAAGAAAUUGGGAAUAUAUCAAAAUAAUGCGGACAGGUUUAAAGAUCAGCAGCAAAGUAGCAUCCAAAUCUUCACUUUACGAAAAAAAUGUUCGGGUGCGAAUGUUUCUACAGGAAGAAAAUGGAUCUGUUGCCUCUUUCAGACCCUGAACCCUUCUCCCUUCCAGCACCUCUCCCUCAAUGGCCUCAUGGUAUUACAAUUUUGAUUUUUUGGGUUUUCUUCGCAUUGUGUGUUUCUUUAAUGGGUUUGCUUCUUCUUCUUUUUUGAUUGGAUUUUUUAGCCUCGACUUGUCCUUUUCAUUGUUAUUUUCUGAUUGAUGGGGGUGAUUUCAUGAGCUACUGUUUUACUUAUUGUAUGAACUGAUGUUAUUUUUCAACCUUGUUUUGGAAAGUUUGCAACAAUAUGUUUGCCUCUUUGUUAUAUCGAAUUAUGGAUCAGUUGGGUAGCUGCAAAUAUGAGAUGUUGUUUUCACAUCUAUGGUGAAUGCAAAUAUAUAUAUAUAGCUUGUACUUGGGGAUGUUGAGUAUGGUAUCAUGUUUAUUAAACAUAUCAUGUUCGUGUUAUGUUUUCUUCUCGUUUCUAAAUUUUCCGGGUUUAGAUCGGAUUAUUGAUCAGUUGGGGGUAUCUGCAAAUAUGAGUUGUAGUUUCCACUUCUACAAUGAAUGCAAAAAUUUAGUUUGUGGUUGGGAUUUUUUGAGUGCAUUGUAGUGCUCAGUUAUAGUUUUUGUUCUUAAUACAAUAUUGAAAUGAUGAAACAAACGAUAAAAUCUGGGAAAAUUCUUGAAGAAAAAAAAAAUUAGCAGGCUAAGAACAGAGGGGUCUGUUUAAAAACUAAUUUACUGCAUUUGAAUAGACAAUUGAGUUUUGCUCUAAUGAUAUCAGAGAUGUAGUCUUUCCAUAUAGGUAUAUACGUUCUUAUGCUUCUUCAGUUUUCCUUUCAAAUGAUGUAAGCUUUUGAGACCAGCAAAUCUUGAGAAACACAGCUUUGAAAUAUCCCCCUUUUGAAAGAAUUUUAGCCUUCUCAAUCCGCUACAGAUCUUUGUGUUUGAGAGGCCGAAUUGUUAUGUCCUUAGACUUCCUGCAGAGAAAGUAAGCACUUCUACUGAUAGAUGAAAUCCAGAUAUAUGAAACUGAGGUAGUGUGGAAAAUGUAUCUAACAUGGUUAUACAAUUAUCCAAGAAGUAAUGAAAUGUUAUAUGAUUUAGUGCUAAUGCUAGACUAUGUCACACUGGCUCUUCAUUUUUUUUUAAAGUAUUCAUAUUUGACACCCUUGGUUUUUUCACACAUAUUUGGAAAUCGGUGUGGAGACACGAUAUACAUGUAUGUAUGUCCUAUACUUGCUUCUGAGUCCAGAUAAUAUAGGUCCUGGAUACGAAUCCGUUUACUCCAAUUAAUUCUUUGUAGCUUAUGCUGACAGGGCCACUAUGUUCUACUUUGAUUAUUCUUUUAAUUGUGGGUGAACAAGAACAAAUCUUUUUUCCUAGAACUGUUUCAUUUGUUAAUUUUGUAUUCCUUUCAAAAAACAAAUAUGAUACAUCAAAUUGUUUUUUCCAUGAACUCUAGAUGUGGCCCACUGUUGUUGCAUAAAUACCUUGAGUGUGAAUGGUAGACAUGGAUAUUUGUCUGACACGGGUAUACUCAAUUUUUUUUUCAAGAUUUCCAUCUAGUCGGAGGGUCCUUGGAGGAUUGUAUCCUUGUACUUAUAUCCGGAUAUUGUGUAGGACAUAUGUACUUCAAGAAAAUAACAAGUCAGAGCAACAUAAGGCAAAUCCCCCAUUCCCAAAUAAAAGUUUUUCAGCACUUAUUUUUGAGCUUUCUCUUAUGUUUGAGUAUCAUCUCUUUGUUUCAUCAUUCUUCUUCAUCAUAUGUCAGCUAAAACAAUCUAUAGGGUCCAUUAUCGAAUUCUUGAACUGGGAUGUGAGUGUCAGAUAUUUGUAUGUGUCUGACACAGCAAGGUCAGAUUUUUUAAAAUUUUUCUAUGUAUUUGGAGGAUCCUUGUAUGCCAUAUCUCUGUUCCCAUAUUUGGACACGUCUGUUGGACACUAAUAUUUCAAGAAAAAUGAAUAGUCGGAACAACAUAAGUUUUGAUGUCAUGUGAUGUUUAAAUGCAGCAUAGUCCAUAGCGGAGGCUGGUAAAAUACAAUGCAAGUUCAAGUCAAAAGGUUCACUUGAGCUGAUGUGGUUCAAUCUUUUGUUAUCAUUUUGAAUAUGACUUAUCUUGAAAUUUCUUUUAUUGACCUGCCUGCAUUUUCAGGUCAGGGAUUUGCUUCUGGAAAAUUAAAUCUCGGAGAACUCGAAGUCGUUAAAAUCUCGAGAUUUAAGUUCAUCUGGAGCAGUAACUUGGAGGACAAGAAAAAAGGUGUCACGUUUUAUAAACCAGUUGGAAUACCUGAUGGAUUUUAUAUCCUUGGUCACUAUUGUCAAUCUAAUGACCAACCUUUAAGAGGUUUUGUUCUUGUUGCUCGAGAGGCACCUUCCAAAUCUGAAGCCGCUGAUUUCUCAACUCGUGUUACUUCACCAGCCCUUAGGGAGCCUCUCGAUUAUACACUAGCUUGGAAAUCGAAUGAUGGGAGUGAGGGAAGUCUUGAAGGUUGCGGUUUCUUCUGGUUGCCACAGCCUCCUGAGGGUUACAAGUCCAUAGGUUAUUUGGUCACAAGUUCUAAAAAACCAAAAUUAGAUAAAGUGAGAUGUGUUCGAGCUGACCUAACUGAUAGAUGCGAAAAGUAUCGAGUUAUGCAUUCGGAAUUUUCGUUUCGAGUUUGGAGCACAAGACCGUAUCAUCGAGGGAUGCUGGGGAGAGGUGUCUCCGUUGGGACUUUUUCUUGCAUUAGUGAUUUGAUACCUGGACUAGAACUGCCUCUCUCAUGCUUGAAGAAUUUAGAUCCUUCACUACAUGGAAUGCCAAACUGUGAUCAGAUUCAUGCACUAAUAAACCACUAUGGACCUACAUUCUUCUUUCAUCCCGAUGAAAUCUACUUGCCUUCUUCAGUUUCAUGGUUUUUCGAGAAUGGAGCACUCCUGUUCAGAAAGGGGGACUCAGUAGGUGAACCAAUUGAUGUCGGUGGCUCGAAUCUACCUAGUGGUGGCUGCAAUGAUGGAGAAUUUUGGAUUGAUUUGCCAAGUGGUGAUCAGAGGAAAACUAUAAAACUAGGAAAUUUGGCAAGGGCUAAACUUUAUCUACAUGUGAAACCAGCACUUGGUGGGACUUUCACUGAUAUUGCUCUGUGGAUUUUCUGCCCCUUCAACGGACCAGCAACGCUUAAAGUCGGUAUUAUGAACAUUGCACUUAACAAGAUCGGACAGCAUGUAUGUGAUUGGGAGCAUGUUACACUCCGUAUAUGCAACUUUACCGGAGAGCUUUGGAGCAUAUACUUCUCUCAGCACAGUGGUGGUGUAUGGGUGAAUGCAUAUGAAUUGGAGUACACACAAGGAAAUAAAGCGAUCAUCUACUCGUCAAGAAAUGGACACGCUAGCUUUUCUCACCCUGGGACUUACAUUCAGGGUUCUGCAAAACUAGGAAUCGGUAUUCGAAACGAUUGCGCUAGUAGUAACUUCUACGUAGAUUCAAGUACUCAUUACGAACUCGUUGCAGCUGAGUAUCUCGGAGAUGGGAUCGUAGCUGAGCCUGGUUGGUUGCAGUUUAUGCGAAAAUGGGGUCCAACUAUUGUCUAUGAUUCGAGAACUGAAUUGGAUAAAAUUGUUCAUGUUUUACCGGUGAUGCUUCAAUCGUCGGUGAAGAACAUUUUUUAUAAGCUUCCGGUUGAGCUUUAUGGAGAGGAAGGCCCUACUGGUCCUAAGGAGAAGAAUAAUUGGGUUGGCGAUGAAAGAGGCUAGUUUUGUGGGUUAGCCUCUGAUCUUAAUAGCAUCUUGCUGGUUCUCAUCUGCUGCCUAGCAAGUACCGGAGAUGGACACGUAAUACGAGUACCGGACAUUGCCCCGGUGGGAGUGUAUGUGCUUCCUAGGCUGCCGUCCUUGUGUUCAUAGUACAACAGUUGGUGAAUUACAUGUUCAUACUUGGUGUAAUGAUUUGUAUAUUUAUCUUCUCAUUUGUUUCGGCUUUUCAUUUUUCUUGAAGUGCCUAUAUCCGAUGCUCGUGUCGAGUGCAUAUUUUGAUACUGUGUAUAGAGAUAUAAUUCUUCAAAAAUUCUCUAAAUAUAUAAAAAAAAAUCUUUGAAAAUAUGACAUUUGUACACUCUUUGACAAAAGCCUCAGUGCUCCAUAGACAUUUUUUUAUGGAAUAAUGCUAGGAGUACGUUUAAAUAUAGACAUUAGAUAUGAUCUUUUACGAAUCUUUAAAAUACAUAAAAUAUAUUUAUAUCAGUCAUAUAUGAUACAAUCAUGUUCAAAUAACAUGUCAUUUUUGUUGCUAACAUUAAAAAAUCAAUAUAAAUAAUUAACUAUUCACUCAAAUGUACUUUUAUAUUUUAAAUUAGUUUUUUUUAAUUAAUAAAAAUAGCAAUCUAUUUUAAAAACAACUACUGUCAUGUUAUUUUAAUCCAUAGUUAUACUUAUUUUUACUACCUUAUUAGUAAUAAUUGUGAAAGUUUUUAGGUCACCAGUAAACCUGUUCAUGGCCAGGUUAGGUAGGAUUCAGGCCGAGCUUUAAUCAAUUUCUAGGCCCGUUUGACAGAUCCAAGCUUUGGCCAGUCUGGAUUAUUGAUGUUAAAUCUAGGCUCGACCCGUAUAAUUUUUUUAUAAAAAAAUUGGCAGCAAAACAAUAACAAAAUUGUGAGAAAACACCAACAAAACAAUGAGAAAAUAACAGUUUUUUUUUUUUUUUGCAAAUAUGGGUUGGGCCCAGACCAAAAGAACCUUACUCGAGGUCUGGCCUAUUUUCUAAACGGGCAUUAUUUUUUUGUCCAAUCUCAUUUUUUGAGUCUAUGUUUUUGUUCAAACCUUUCCACUUUUCAGGUGAGCCAGGUGACCCAACCCAAGGACAGGUCUAGUCACUGGUUUGUUGGUCCGACCGAUUCGAUCAACCCAUCCACUUCAACUAAAUAAAAUUAUAACAAUUAAAAUAUUAAAAAUUCGAUUCAAGACCCUCUUUGAAUUGAUAUCUUAGUUGGUUCUUGAUUCAACCGAACGGUCUGGUUCAAACAACAUUGAUAAUUAUUUUAAGAUAGUUCAAUAAAAUAUUACUCUAUUAAUGCACUUAAGUACACUUGAAUCUACAUAUUCUUAGUUGUUACAAAACAACUAUACCAACUGAGUUAAGGCUUAAUCAGUUUUUAGUAUCGUGUUUUAAAAUGUUAUAUAUUUUAAAAUAAAUUUUGAUAUAUUAAUAUUUUGUGUUGCGUAAAUUUAAACAUACAUAUUUCCUUUUCAUUUGAAUUAACAAGUUUGCAGCAUUGACAUUUAAAAAUAAAACAAGAAUUUUCCGAUUAAGUCUUAUCUUAAUUGGCAUGGGCAUUAUUGCCAAUGCAGGAGGAUAUAAGUUCGAGUGUGCUAAAGUGCAUUAUCCUUCAAUUUACGGGUUGGAGAGAGGUUAUGGGUAGUUUUAAGCGUUGUAUCAAAAAAAGCAAAUAUGAUCAGAAUCUAUAAAUUAUGUUUGUUGGGAAGCGUAUUUUAUAUUUAUAUAAAAUUUAAUACGUUAAUGAUUUAUUAUAAAAAUAUAAAAACACUAAUAUAUUAGUGGAUAAAAUACGUUAAAAAUAUUUAUACUUUUCGUAUAUUUAAAAUUUAGUCUCUCUAUUUUUAUUUUCAUGAAUUUAGUUUCUCUAUAUUCGAAGUCGAAUAAAAAUAAAGCCGAAUUAAACCAAAUACUAAAAAAAAUCUAAAUGAUUGCAAGGUUGAGUUUAGCGAAUAAUAUGGAUUCUCGGUCUAUAUUUUAUUUUGAUAAUUUUUUCAUUUGUUUGUUUGCUUAAUUGGGUUGUGUGUGAUCGAUUAAGGUGUUGUUUGAUAAUAUAAAAAUUAAGCACAAAAUUUUAUAAGUGAUAAAUUUAUAUUAUAAAAUUAUUUGUUAUAUUAAUAAAACUUAAUUGCAAAAUAAAAUUAUGUUGUUCGAUAAUAAUAAAUCUUUAUUUUUUUUACAAAUAUUUUUUUUUUUUGGUAAUGAAUAAAUUUUGAUUUUUGGAAAUCACUUGUGUACAAGCCCAAUAAUGCCCGAGCCCAAACCAAUAAACAGACCCAACUAAACCUAGAAUGGCCCAACACCUGACCCAAACUAAACCUAGCCCAAAGCUUAACCAAAAAACAGAAACCCUAGGAGCCUCCCUUUCCAGCCGCCGCAAAGAUCGGAGCAAGCCUCCUCUACGUGCGCCGCUCCUCCCCGCCCCGCGCACGUUGCGCAUGUUGAACCUACAACAACAAACAAUCGAUGACAAUAUCAGAAUGACGAAAAAGAGGGGAUUUGCAUUAUUAUUUUCGGCUAUUUAAAGCCAUAGAAAAUUUGUAAAAGGGGGGAGGAAAAUCUGUAAAAAGGGUUUUUUUUCAGUGUAAGAGGAUACAAAAAUAAAAGAAAAGAUCAGUUUCUUUUGAGGUGAUUAGGUUUUUUCUCUCUUUUAUUGUUUUUCUCCGUUUUACUUCCUAUAUACGUGAAAGAAUAAAAAGAAAAAGGAAAAGACUUACCUUGCUGACGGCCGGAGAAGAAGAAACCGAGGGGUUUUUUCGGUCUUCCUCCGAUCUUUGAAGGCUUUUAGCGAGUUUUAAGGAUAGAUCGGAGUCCCCGGGGUUAAGACGGUUUAAAAAGGGUCACUUUAAGAUUUUCGGCCACCGCGGCGAUGGUGACGGCGCCGGAGCUCUCACCGAAAUCCUCGCCGGAGUUAAGCCGGAUUUUGGGCCUACUUGAGAGGAAAAGGAGAUUUUUUUUCCUUGUUCUUUUGAAACAGAAAGGGAAAAUGGAUUUUUUUAAGGGAAAUUUGGCUUUUAUAUGGGCUAUGAAACGACGCCGUUUGGGGCCAACUUCAAUGGCCUCAAAACGACGUCGUAUGGGCUAAAAACCCGACAACCCGACCCGUUUUCUCAGGAUCCGCGUGUUUUAUUUUUAAAUGGUCCAUUUGUGCAUUCGGUCCCUCAAAUUUUUUAAAAUCGUUUUCAAAACAAUUUUUUUUUAAUUUGGCCCGCAUGUUUCUGCCGUUGUUCAAUUCAGCCCAUAUAACUGCACACCGUUUUGGAGAGGCGGAUUA
rnacentral:lncRNA from 1 species